rnacentral:lncRNA from 1 species
CUUUUAGCUCUAUUGGCCUUCUUCCACAGGCAACUUCAAGCAAGAAUGCCCCGAAAGCAAACACAUCGGUGUGUGUUGUGGCCCGACCUAAUCUUGUAUGCUCUGGAGCUAGAUACCCAAGUGUUCCUACAAUAUGAGUAGUUUGAGGGUCUGUUCCGUGGUCAUAUAAUCUUGCAAGGCCAAAAUCUCCUAGCCUAGCAUUCAGUUCCCCAUCUAGUAAUACAUUACUCGCCUUGAUGUCUCUAUGAACCACAACUUGCUCCCAUUCUUCAUGAAGAUAUAAUAACCCUGAAGCCACACCUCUGAUGACUUUAAACCUUUGGCUCCAAUUAAGAGUGGCCGUUGGUUGGCCGUAGAGGUACUUGUCUAGGCUUCCGUUAGGCAUGUAGUCAUAGACUAAAAGAAGCUCUCCUUUUCUUCUACAAUAUCCUAAAAGUUGUACUAAAUUUCUGUGACGGAGGCGGCCAAUGCUCACAACUUCUGCCACAAACUCCUUCAUCCCUUGCCUUGAUUCACGUGAGACCUUCUUCACUGCGACCUCAGUUUUAGAGGCAGGUAAUAUGCCUCUAUAAACCUUACCAAAUCCCCCUCUCCCAAAAGUUCCUUUUCCUUGAACCCUUUUGUAGCAACAUAUAAUUCUUUAUAUUUAAACCUUUGAGGUCCAUACUCAAGCUCCCAAUCUUCAAGCAGCUCUGCAAACUUCCUCUUCCGUCUUAUGGCAUAAAUGAUGCCAACAAUUGCAAGCAAAACCAAACUCACAGACAUCACAGGCACACCGAUGAUUAAAAGUUUAGAUUUUUUCUUACAUUCUAUCCGAGGCAGGUGGGGAAGAUGUGAGUGAACAAGUUCUUGAGCUUGCCCAUUCAUUUUAAAGCUCCAGCCCAAAACAUAAUGAGACGUAGGAAAAGAACUGGUGGAGGAUGAGAAGCCAACGUACAUGGUUUUGUGUAGGAUUGGGGAAAGGUCAUGCUUCAGAGAUAAAAGUGGAGCAUGGGGCUUACCAGCACUGACUGGAGCCAACGUGACAUUGAUUUGCUUAUUGAUACCAUCAUAUUCCACCCAAACUUGCAUUGCUUGACCACAGGAGAGAGACAAUUUCCGAAACCCACGAUUGUUUUCAGCAUAGUAUCCUGCGGUAGAAGAUUUCACAGAGUUCAAACUAUUAAUGUCAAUUCCUACAUGGUUGUUAUCGAUGUCAUUGAACUUGAUCUCCUGGGUAGUGUCUAGCUCUACAGAAAAAAUAUGAUUGGUGACAUUGCCAUUGUUGGUUGAAUUGAAAAGGCCUAGGAAAUGGCCGUGUCCAGCUUGGGGAAUCCCUCUUUUUGGAGCAAUGACGAAGGCCAUUCCAUGACCAGUUGCAAGCACCGAUCUGAUAGCGAACACAAAUGUUGUGGAAAAUGAGAAAGCAUUGCUAUCAGAAUAUGAAUUCUUGAAGGUGACUGGGUUAGGGUAGAAGGCAUGGCCAUUCAUCCCUUGAGAGUCAUUUGUAAUCAUCAAAAGACCGUUGGGUGUGAACUGGGCUACACCGUCUAAGGUAAGAUUUUCUGACCUGAAACCUUUGUAGAUGAAGCUAACAUUUUGAGUUGCUGCUAGGGUUGCUUGUAUGAGUAUUACAAGCUUGAAAAACAUGGCUGCCAUUCUUAGUUCUCUCCAAAACCUCUGGGAACUUUGUUAUAAGCAAUGCAGCUUAGCUGAGCUGGCCUUUCAUUGUCUCACUAAUUAAAUGUUUUGUCUUUGUGUAGCAGAAUAAACAGUAAUCCAGACUAGUCAGUGACUGCCACGUUGGCAACUUCUUGUUGAAAUAUCUCACAUUGAUAUCUCUGAGAAAUUAGGAGUUUAAAUAUUCCAACCUCACAUUAACUAAUACCGAGAUCUUUUGUGAUAAAAUCUCAUACCUGACAAAUUGUGCAUGUGGUAAUUAUUAAGUUAGAGACAAUAUCGGUGUUGUUGGAAGUGGGCAUGUUGAAAUAUCCCACAUCGACCGUAUCUCUGGGAAAAGAAGAGUUUAAAUAUCCUUACCCAAUUCCAACUAAUAUUGAAGCAUUUUGUGAUAAAACCCCACACUUGACGAUUUGUGCAUGUGGUAAUUAUUAAAUUGCGGACAAUAUCGGUGCUGUUAGAAGUGGGUCUUUGGCCCCUCUUUUUGAUAAUUCUACACUUCUCAGCUCAAAUUCAUUUUAGACUUUAUAUGUGAUUGUGAUGGUGCAACAACCAACAAUGACAGAGUUAGUUCUUCACCAUACAACGUAGGAACAAGACCCCCAUUAUGUGAUAAAACCUCACACCUGACAAUUUGUACAUGUGAUAAUUAUUAUGUUGGGAACAAUAUCGAUGUUGUUGGAAAUGGACCAUUGACUCGUCUCUUUGAUAAUUCUACACUUCUCAACUCAAAUUAAUUUUAGACUUUAUAUGUGAUUGUGAUGGUGCAACCUCCAACGAUGACAAAGUUAGUUCUUCACCAUACAAUGUAGGAACAAGACCCCAUUUAUCAUAAAAAGAAAGGGAAAUGACGCAGAAAGAGCCAAGGGGUCUAGGGAAGACGAUGGAGAUAGAUACUUGGGAAUCACUCAACCAGGAGCAAUGGAUUCGCUCAAUGUCUGUAAUCGAGGAUUCACUCAACACAACUAAGUCUAACACUUAAUUUAAGAGUAAAAACUCACUCUCUUCUUAGAUUGAUUAUAAUUCACUAAAUUGACUUCCUUUUGAGUACAUAAGGAUAGGGAGAUCAAAAUAAUUGAUAGGAUAAAUAUUGAUACUAAAAAUUAUGGUUUCUAGACAUCCAGUUAAAACAUGGCUUUGAAAGAUAAAAAGCCACCAACAACAUGUAUAAGACAUAGACCAUAUUAGUUGUUGUGGGCUGCAUCAUACUCCUUUUCUCAGAAAGAUUUUCGGCCAAUUGUCAUCAAGAGAUUUUCGGCCAAUUGUCAAAGAUCAUCCAAUUCUGUUGAAGUUUGCCUUCAAAUAGUUUUUCCCCAUCCCCCUACACAACAUUAGUAACAGUCAAUAAUUUGAUGAUAAGAGAGCAAUGUAAAACAAGAUAAUCUUAAUACAUACGAAAAGAUACCUCCAACAUGCAGUUGAAAUAAAAGUUUUUCUACUAUAAGGAUAUCACCGUACAUUAAAAUUGUGGACAUUCUAUAGUCAAGUGAAGUACUUUGAAAUACGAUAAAGAGAGGUAAGAUUUACAAAUCUGAGAAUACAUAAAAAAUGGCAGGACAAAAUUGCACUAUCCCCAUUGAAACCUACAUGACAUUCAAGGGUAACGUUUGGAUUAAAGACAAAAUUCAACACCUUCUGGAGUUUAACUAAUUUAAAGGGACAAAUAUAUGUAAUUCCUUACAAAUUUCAAGACUACAUUCAAAGUUCAAUCAAACAUAAUAAUACUAUUGCUUUGGCAUUUUAUUCCAACUAAUUUAAGGGAAUGAAAGCAUAUCACCUUGCAAAUGCCGAGAAAUUAUUAGGUCUGUAUUAUUUUUAUACAGUUGAAAAUUAAUAUUAUUUUUAAUUUUUACAUAAAUUUAAAAAAGAAAAAAAAUGAAAAAAACGUAGGAGAUCGAUCUCCUUCCCCUUCCUGCGUUUGGAUGGAGGGAUGGUGCUGGUGAUAAUCAUAAGUGGGUGAACAUGAUUUCGAUCUCUUUCUCUCCUCUGGGUCGAAUCUCAGUUUCUCCCGCGCCUCCUUCCACGGCAAAACCCCGCAAAACCUAAAUCUUAAUUGUCGAAUGUUCAAAUCAAACCCAGUUCCUUCUUUACCAACUCGCCAAAAAACUUUUCGACCAGAAACGCGUUGAAAUUAUAAUUUGGGGGGCUGUUUUGGAUUUUCCUUUUUACCAUUUUUAGAUUUUGUUUUUACCGUAACCUUAAACAUCGAAAUACACCGCGUGAUCUACGCUCUGUUCUUGAAUUUCAGUGAGGAGGUGAAAAAAUCCUGGUUUUUUUUUUUUUUUUCAACCGAAUAUGGGCAAGUACAGAGGUCAGGGGAAGCCCAGAGGAGGAUGAUUGUUUCGCAGAAAAACACAACCUUUGAGAGACCCAGAGGGGGAAAAGAGAGAGAUCGAAAUCAUGGGUUGCUUUGUUGCAUGUUUUGGUUCUUCCAAAGACAAAAAAAAAACAGGUGUAAUCAGGAAAGCAGGGUGGUGUGCGGAAAGGAUUACCGGAUGGAGAUCGUCCGAUCUCUUCUGUUCUCUCUUUUUUUGUUUUUUUUUUAAAUUUAUUUAAGAGGUUAAAAUGACAUUAAAUUCCAGCUGUUUAAAAAUAAUGACAGAUAGAUAGCCAAAUUUGAAUGGAAGAAUCACGGCUGACGUGGUACUACAAUACCACCUAAUAAUUUAUCCAGAGAAGUUGUGAGAGAACAAUUUCUUGUGCCUGGCCGCCAUUCUAGAACACAAUGACUAGUGAGGAGUGAGCAUGUGGAUGAGGAGAUGCCAACAUACAUAAUCUUGUUAUGGACCAUGGAAAGGUCGCGCUUCAAAGAUAAGAGUGGAAUGUGGGGUUUAUAAACAACGAUCGGAGCCAAAGUGACAUCGAUGUUCUUCUUGGCGCCAUCAUAUCCCACCCAAACUUGCAUUGAUUGAUUGCUAAUGAGGGUCAAGAGAAGAGAAUGCUUUGAAUCCUUAUAUUAUUCUUCCCAAUUUGAGGUAUAAUAUACAAUUCUAGAGCUGUCAUGAUAAGGAAAGGAUAAUUACGAUAAUUACAAUCCCAAAUUACAAUGGAUUAAUCGUAACUAGGAAAUCUUAAAUUGUACGAAACUAUAUACAAGUCAACAUUCUAGCCCAAGUUGGUGUAUUUGAUAGGAUUUUUAGUAUCUGCAUAAAGAGGGUUAAACUCACACAAAAUACUUGUAAGAGAACAAAGUAAUUGUAGUAAAAAUGCUUAUGCAAGGUCGUUCCCACAUGAGUUAUCUAAAACAAUUUAUGCAAAACCAAAAUCUUAGUUAAUUAUUUGAAAACAAGGAUUAGAAAGGGUUGAUUUUGAAUUUACAUAUAAUAAAAACAAAUUUAAUAAAAGCAAUUUAGGAAAAACAACUAGUAACCAAUUAAGAAGAAAUCAGAUAAAAAAGAAAAGGUUUUGAGAAAUAAGUUUGGAAAAGCAUUAGGAUUCUGCUGUCAUCUUAACAAUCCUAUGUAGAUUUACUAAUUAUUUAUGAAUUACCCAUGCAACUUUGAAUGUCACAUCCUGGCCCGGGCCCCUACCACAUCCCGGGCUCGACUCUACCGUAGCACGAUAUUGUCCGCUUUGGGCCCCGACCACGCCCUCACGGUUUUGUUUCUAGGAACUCAUACGAGAACUUCCCAGUGGGUCACCUAUCCUGGGAUUGCUCUCACGCGAACUCGCUUAACUUCGGAGUUCUGAUGGAACCCGAAGCCAGUAAGCUCCCAAAAGGCCUCGUGCUAAAUAGAGAUAUGAAUAUACAUAUAAGGCUUACAAGAUUUACUCCUCUGGACGAUGUGGGAUGUUACAAGCCUUAAAUAAUGGAAGAAGUACUUUUCAUCGGGGGGAUGGACCAGUUACUAGUGGUGAGAGCAUUGGACACAAAAACGACAUGUGUAAUUAGAGCGACAACGAAGGUCUAUCUGUCUACUGUCAUCUCAGAUGCUUCGAUUUUUCUUUUAUAUACCUGUGGUAAGUCUUAAAACUAAAGUAUAUAUGUACUGAAAGUUUAGAGGACUUGACAAAGAAUUAAGAAUGGUAGCCGUGUUUUUCAGGCUUGUAAUAUUUAGAUGAGGAUCCCAAUGGUAGGGAUCCUAGGAAUGCUCACAUUUUAGCCGUUCAUCGUAUAUCAUGCGGUAAAAAAUCAUUUGAAUUUUAUUAUUUAAAAGUAAACACAAAUAGUACCUGACGAAAAUUGACCGCACGAUAUACGAUGAACGGCUAGGAUAUAAGGAUCCCUAGAAUCCCCACCAUUUGGAUCCGAAUGGGAUCCUUAUCCAUAAUAUUUCUACUAGUAAACCUAGCAGUAGCUGAAAAUGUUAGUUUCACCUACAAUGGCUUCCGGUCCGCUAAUCUAAGGCUAGAUUGUGGAUGCAAACUUUGCCGUCUCUUUCUUUGACAAAAAUGCACAUGCAAAAUAAUAACAUUUUCGAUUGAGGCCAAAAACCUCACGCUCCCACGAUGAAUAGGGGGCUUUGGCGGAAGAAUCUCUAAUGCAAAAGUUAGAAUUUUGAAAAUAAUGUAUUUAGGAGUUUACGGGUAGCCAAUGACUUAGCAUUUUAGUGGGAUAAUAGAUGUAUUUAUAGGAGAGUGGGCCCUUUGGAUGGAGAGUGACUGACCAUAUUUGGGGGUAAUGGGUGAAUAAUUGCAAGAUAUUAUGUGAAAUAAUAUCUUGCAAUUAACAUGACAAUUAUUCCUGGUUUAAAUAGGAAGUUUUGGGAGUUACCUUUUGAAUAAAAUCAUUAAGGGAUAGAUGAUGAGUGUGAGAGGAAUAUGAAAUAAAUUUCAUAUUGGUCAAAUUUGACUCUUCCUUGAUUGAGCAGUUAUUGUCUGUUGUAUGUGCGUGGGAAUUCCCGUAUGCUUCAAGGGUAAUCUCGUCUUUUCACCAAAAAAUCCAUGUGUCACCUCCAUGAUUUUUCGGAUUAUUUUUUGCUCCAUAAAUGCUCCCACACCUGUUGGGCUGCUCGCAGGAAAGGGAAGUGGUUGUAGAGAGCUCCAAUUGCUUAAGGAAACAUAAGAUUGUUUUCUAUUUUGAUGUAGAUUCCCGCUUUGAUUGGAAAUUAGAUUCUUCUAGGAAAGGGAAUAAAUUACCUCCAAAGUCUAUUUAAGUCUACUUUAAGUAUAACAUUAAAUCUUUGAAGAGCAAUUAUUUAACCCUACAAGAAAGAGAGAAAGCUAGAGGAUAUUUGUUCCUCGUCUCCUAGCAAUCUUCUUUGCUUGCCUGUGCAAAGAACCGUCUUUUGUUGUUUUCUUUGUCUUCACGCCAUACUAAGGUAAGAAAAAAUUAAUUUCCUUGUCUUCUUAUUUUUUGGAGCCUCAUGGCUUGAAAUUUGGCUCAAUGGGGAUUAAGGAUGUGACCAAAGUGGCUAGGAAAGCCAUGGAGUUGCUGUAGCGUUAUGGUUGCUGCUGUCGACUCGACAUGGCUAGAGGGUUGGCUGCAGUGGCGUGGGUCGCGAAGGUGAGUUGGGGCUCGGCUUAGAUCACCAAUGAGAUGCGCUAGGCUUGGCUAGCGUAGGCCAAGGUUGUGAAGUGCUAGGCUUCAGCUUGUGCGGGAUAGAUGAAGGAGGUGCCGGGGCAAUUGUCCCCUCAUGUUGGCUUUGGGUUGUGGGCCAUUGGGUCGAGAAGAGAGAGAUAGGGAGGCAGCAUAGGCUGGGCUCCCUUGGCUAUUCUUUCUUGCAUCUUUGUAGAAUUUCUUCGAGCAUGUCUUCUUUAAGCCAUAAGAGCAUGAUGAUGUGUCGUCGUUGUAUCGUCAAGGCAGGUCUUUGAGUAAAGUGGUCUACUUUAAGGCUGCUCACGUCAAAAUCAAUUCUGAUGACUCGUUUAGAGACUUCCUCAAAGCAUAUAGGCAUUCCACUCCGUUUGGGGUGCAUGUGAAACAUGUCAAGGAGGGGAGCAGCCGUGGGCCAUGUACUGGGGCGGAACGCUAUCAAGUUUCACCCUUACUACUUUGUGUUGGGAUUACUUUUCCUAUCCCAAGUUUCUUCCAAGAAGUACUUUUCUUCAUGAAGUGUGCCCCCGCUCAGUGUUCUCCAAAUGCGGUCCACGUGAUGGUAAGAUUCAUCAAUCUGAGCCAAUUCUUUGACUUAGAUCUAAUAAUCAAUGAAUUCUGGUUCUUCUUUGACAUAGGUCGUAUUGGUUGAGUUAGGUAGUUGCGAUUUUGCCAUAGGCUCUUUAAUCAUUUGAGCAAAUAAGAUCAUGAUUGGGCCAAGGAAACUUUGCAGAUAAGUGGAAAGUGGGAGUCUGAUUCUUUUCCUGAGUUGGGCGUUCCGACAAUUUUCAUCACCGGUAAGUAAACUGCUUAGUUUUUAGGUUGCUUUGUGAUUCUAGUGAGCUGUUCUCUGGUUUACUAAUUAUCCUCUUUUGUCUAUGUAGAUUCGGAAUUUCGCUAGCUCCCAAAAGUUCUAAAGAUAUGAAGAAGGUGCACAUUGCUUUAGGUAUCCCUGCUGAGUACAUUGAAUGGCGUUGGCUGCUUAGUCCUUUUCAUUGGAAGACAUGUGGGCUGCCCCUAAGAGAGGAGAUAAAUCGAAGUUAUUUGCUCGUCCGAUCACUGUCGUCGACCCUUUUGCAAAUGAAAGUGGAAAAAAGAGACAUUCCACGCAUGCUCAAAAGAUAUUGGUUGAGAAAAAACUGAAGACUUCCUCCACUGCUCAUAAGGGUCUGCCUACUGCCGAGAAAUUUGUAAUUGACUUGACUUUUUCUAAGGGAAAGAAAGAAAAUGCUGCUAGAUAUGAGCAUGUGACGUCUGCCAUGCUGAAAAUGGCUAGUACGAUUGCUGAUAGGAUUGCUCAGCGUAGAGAUUCCAUUGUGCCCCCAAUGCCAAAGUCUAUACCAAGACGUCCAUUAAGAGUUAAGUUCGAUUCACAUUUGGAGAUUCUUGCUAUUAUAAAGAGCAAUAAGGUAAACUCUGUUACUAAAGUGGUGCAUGGGCCUAUUCCUCUUGCUACUGAGAUUGGUUCGCAUGAUGAGAAAGAUGAGUCUACUAGCAUGGGCAGUUGUGAGAAAUCUACCAAGCCUAUUUCUGAAGAGUAUACAGACAUCUGUGAGCUUUUAAAGCUUGAUUUUCUUGAAGACAUGAAAGUGUGUGCCAAACUUGUUGCUGGCGUCAUUUAGGUUGUUUGCUCAAUUUCUUUUGCGAAGCAUAUGACCCAAUAUAAAAAGACAGCUUUGUUUGCUAUGAUGCAGAAAAUGGUGAUUCUGGCAGCCGAGUUUAUGCUCCUUCACUAAGAAAAUACCAAGGGUACCAAGGAGAUGACAACAACUAUGGAAACUUAGGCUUAUACUUCUACUGAGAAUAUAAAAAAGUUGGAACAUGAGCUCGUUACUUUGAAGGGGUUCAAUAUAUCUACCCCCACUUCUUUGCAACUUGAGACAACUCGCCAGAAGAUCGAUGACUUGAUGGCUAGGUUUGAUGCGAUACAAGUUAAGUAUGAAAGUUCAGAUAAGGAGAUUAGUCAUUAUAUACCUCAGAUUCAAGAUCUUGCAUACCAUUUCAGAGCUUCAUUUUGCUACCUAUGCAAAGGAUGAAGAGUUGAUUGCUGCUUGUAAUCAAGUAAUCCACUUCCGGAAGAUCAUGAUAAGCUUGAACUUCAAGUGUUGGAACUCCAAUGUGUGCUAAAGAUCAACAAAAGUCUGAAGAAGGAAGUGGAUGAUUUGUAGUGCAUCUGUGUUUGUCUACUCGAGGAGAACGACCAGUUGAAGAGUGAAAAGGUUGGAUCACCUUUUCGGUAGGCUGUCUAACUUUGAGUUUGCUGGAAAAGACUUCGAGACCUUCUCUAUUUGUUUGAAAAAUUUUCUUGCCUUUACUUUCGAGGCUUUCAUUGGUGAGGUAGUCGGAAAGGUCGGUGCUUAGGCUGGGGCAGCCGAGGGUGAAGUUCUAGAUAAUUCUGAAAAUGUGGCGUGCUGAAGGUGUAGCAGCCGAGUAGUAGUGGGAUGUCCAAGAUGCUGAAGAGUAGUUUCCUAGGUAGCCUUUAGGAUUUUCUUUAUUUUCCUUGUUGUUUUUUCUUUUGCUCGAACUUUAUAGGCCUUUGUUCUUGGUUUAUCAAUUUUGCUAGAAAAUUUAAUAAACUUGUUUCCUUUGCUUUUCUUCAUCUUUGCCUCUUUUGUUUACGCCUAACCUUUAACCUUUAGAUUAGCGACAGACGUGCUACUUUUCCAUAAACAGACAAGCCUGCGUAGCCUAUAUAGUCAUAGGUUUCGGUGUAGAUCUUUUACAAAGCUGUUAACCAUACGGUCGGUAGCCAGACGCCUUACUUACAGAAGCAAAUGAGUUUGCAUGACCACUUGGCUAUUAGCUUCGGUUUUCUUCGAUCCUUUGAGCUAUAUGGCCUGCAUCACAACAUAAGAAAGAUUUCUAGGGCAUGAAAUUCGCUAACCUUUUGUGGCAAAAGUACAUGGUUGUAUGGAAUUUCGUGGGCAAAGGUCCGAAAGAACACUUUGCAUUUUAUGUAACCAAUUAUGUAGGCUGCAAAGCAAGUAUCACAACACUUUAGGAAUCAGUGUAGAUCUGAAUGAUCAUUUCACGUUUGGCAGAGAUGAAGCUUAUCAACUGCAUAAAGCUUAUCAACUACGUACCAUGUUAGCACUACAUAAAGUUUUGUAUGUGCACACUAACUGUUAACCUUUCAAAAAAAUGUGUAGUUGUAUAAGUUUAGCUUGGCUAACUACUCGAAGGGCAAGCCGUAGGCUGUAUUUUGUAAACCGUAAGCUACCUUGGCGUACUCAGUAGCAACUUUGGGGUUCCAGGGCUGCCGUCCAUAAGGUGUACUGUGUAAUGUGCCUCAUCUGUCUUUGAGGCUUGGUUUCCCGCUGAUUAGGCCAAAGACCAAAAAUCUUUCAGUUAUCUAAGCCUUGAAAAGUACCAUUGUGGCUAAUUCUAGGGAUCUUAGCGCAUGUCAUCGUGCACCUAGUUACACCAGGGCAGCCCGACCCAUCUAUGUCUGGAUAUUUGAAGUGUAUAGUUUACCAUAUCACAUUGGAGAGCAUGGUUGGUCUUUAGGGGGUACAAUUCCUACGAUAAAUCCCCAAAAAGGCGCGAUCUUCAUUGAAGUGCAGGAGUGAUAAGUUGUUGUAAGCAUGCAGCCGAGCCAAGUUGCGAAUAACUUCUGAAUUCCUUAUUGAAAAAUGAGUGAAAUGAAUGAAAACUUAGCCGUAAGGUAAGAAUUGCAUAACAAUUGGAUAAUCCUCAGUUUACGAGGUGGUGCCCGUCGAACUGCUUAAGUCUUUAAGCUUUAAUGUAGCAGGAGGUCAUGCGUGGUACAUCCUCAGAUUAUAGGCGUUCCAUUACUUUUUGAUCUCUUUGUUGCUCAUGGUGGCAAGGGUGUAGCUACCCGUACCGCCUACUCUACUAAUCUUGUACAGACCUUUCUAGAUGAGAUCCAUCUCUUUGAAGCCUUCAUUACGGGCAGUGAUGAAGACUUUUCUCAGGACUAGAUCUCCAAGCUAGAACUGUCGAAUCUUUACCUUUUAGUUAUAACUGGAGAUAAACUGCUGCUGGCAGGAUGCGAUGUGGGUAAUGACCUGCUCGCGUUCCUCCUCUGCUAGAUCUAAGUUUGUGGCAAUCUCUUUUUUGUUAUGAUCGAUGUUUGGCAGUAAAGUGCUAAUACUUGGCAUAAUGACAUUAGGAGGAUGAUUGCUUCUUAACCAAAUGCCAAAGAGAAAUGAGUCACACCGGUUGCAUAUCAUUUGAUGGUGCACUAAGUCCAAAGACAUCCUGGAAGUUUGUCUGGCCACUUUCCCUUUUUGUCUGAAAGGGAUUUUUUAAGGCAAUCGAGGAUUGUCUUGUUGGAUGCCUCGACUUGCCCAUUGCCUUAGGGAUACCUUGGCUUGGACAUGUACUGCUUAAUGCCAUAUUUCUAGAAGAACUUCACCAAAUCUUUGCCUACGAAUUACGGGCCAUUUUCUGUGAUGAUGGAUAGAGGGAUGCUGAACUGACAAAUGAUGUUCCUUUUUAUAAAGUGCUCUAUGUCCAUUUGAGUUGUGGUUGUCAUGGCCUUUGCUUUCACCCAUUUAGUGAAGUAGUCAGUUGCCACAAUCAUCAUGCAUCUGCCCCCAGUAGCGGGCGACAUUGGCUCUACCAGGUCGAUUGCACACUGUAUGAAUGGCCAAUGACUUGUCUUCGAGUGUAGUUUGCUAGCAUACAGUGUUAGUAUUGUCUUGUAGCGUUGGUAGUUGUCGUACUUUUGUACUAACUGCUUAGCAUCAUAAUGCAUAGUAGGCCAGUAGUUGCUUAUGUUAAAAUAACUAUGUGCUAAAUAUCAGCCUCCAAAAUGAUUUCCACAAAUGCCUUCGUAGAUUGAACUUAGAAUCUUCAGGUCAUCAAGAGGCGGUAAGUAGUGAAGAUAUGGUUCGGUGUAGGAUCUUCGAACAAGAAUAUCAUUCCACAUGUAAUAACGUGCUUCAUUCGUUUGGAGCUUUCUUGACUCCAAUCUUUUUAUGUGGAAUGUGUCAUUGACUAGGUAGUCUUUGAUGAGACUUUGCCAGUUCAGAGUUGUACUAACCUAUGACACCUCGGCUGUUAUGCUUGGUUUUUCCAGAUACUCCACCGGAAUAGAGCGUUUGAGUUGAUGGUCGAGGACGGAGACUAGACCAGCUGGCGCAUCCAUCUGAGCGUUGUCUACCCUUGAAACUUAAGUGAAUGUGUAAGUAUGAAAUGCCUCAAGCUGCUUUUGUACCUUCUCUAGGUAUUGCACCAUUCUUGGAUGCUUUGUUGUGUACUCUCCGGUAGUCUGGUUGGUGAUUAGCUGGGAAUCAGAAUGAAUUGCGAGCUUUUUCACCGCCAAGUCUUUUGUCAUUCCGAGGCUUGCUAGUAAGGCUUCAUACUCUGUUUCGGUGUUGGAUGCUUUAAAGCCUAGAGUGACCGUUUUCUCGAGCAUCAAACCAUCUGGGUGAUAAGGACCAUGCUUGCUCAUGAGCCCUUGUAGUUGGAUGCACCGUUAACAUGCAAAUGCCAGAAGUCUCCAUUGGGUAAGGCAUGUAUAGCUAUAGCAUAUUCGGUUGCCUCAAGGGUGUCGUUGGGCUACGCUAAUGCGUCACCUAGGCUAGGUGGGAAUUCUGCUAUGAAAUCUACCAAGGCUUGGGCCUUUAUUGCAUUACAAGGUCGGUAAACUAAGCCGUACUAGCCAAGUUCCAAUGUCCAUUUUAGUAAUCCUUAAGAAGUGUUUGGACCAUGUAAGAUUGAUCGUAGAGGAUACAGGGUCAUAACGAUGACUGUAUAAUUUUGAAAAUAUGGUCUGAGCUUCCCAGCCUCAACAACUAAUGAGAAAAUUAAUUUCUAGAUCUCAGAUAUUUGAUUUCCAAAUCGAAAAGAGCUUUGAAAGUGUAGAAUACCGAUAGCUGGGCCCCCAGCUCUUCUUGUAUAAGAGCAAAGCUCACUGCUACUUUUGAAACUGCCAAGUAGAUGUAUAAGUCUUUCUCUGCUUUUGGCUUAAAUACUAAGGAAGGUGAUGUAAGAUACUUCUUUAAAUCUUGGAAAGUUAUUUCGCACUCAUCAUCCCAUUUAUCUCCUUAUGCCUUCUUGAUUGCUUUAAAAAAGGCUUGCAUCAAUCAAUGAGCUGUGAGAGGAAGCGGUUGAGAAAGGCUGCUCAUCCAGUCAAGCUUUGGGUCUCCUUCAGGGUAGUUAGAGACUUCAUCUCUAGGAUUGUUUGGAUGUACUUCGAUUGCUCGUUGGGUUACUAGGUACCAUAAGAAUCUGCCUGAUACUCCAAACAUGCAUUUGGUGGGAUUGAGCUUCAUUUUGUACUUUUUAAGAAUGUUGAAAGUUUUCGCCAAGUUACCAAUGUGGUCUGACCGCUACUUGCCUUUCACCAUGAUGUCGUCGACGUAGACUUCCAUAGUUACUCCAAUUUGCUUAUUGAACAUCAUAUUUACCAGCCAUUGAUAAGUAGCUCCCGCGUUCUUAAGGCCAAAAGGCAUGACUUUAUAGCAGUAGGUACCUCGCUCGAUCACGAACGCAGUUUUCUCCUUGUUGGGCUUGUGCAUGGCUAUUUGGUUGUAGCCGGAGUAUGUGUCCAAGAAACUAAGUAGCUAGUUUCCUAAAGUUGAAUCAACUAGUAAGUCGAUUCGGAGGGCCAAAUAAGGAUUAUUCGGGCAUGCUUUGUUGAGGUGGGUGUAGUCUACGAAAACUCUCCAUUUGCCAUUCUCUUUCUUCUUUACUAGCAUGACAUUGGCAAGCCAUGCUGAGUGUGCUACCUUUUUUAUGAACUCGGCCUCCAGUAGUUUAUUGAUUUAUGCUUUAAUGAUCGUCACUUGUUCGGGUGCAAAGUGUCUUUUCUUUUGGAUCACCAGUUUGGCAGUAAGGUCAACAUGCAGCUUGUGGCAAGCUGUAUUGGGGUCGAUACCAAGCAUGUCGGAAGGUGACCAAGCGAAGAUAUCACGAUUCUCACUAAAGAAAGUCGUGAGUUCCUUAUUUUCCUUGGGGUUCAGAUGUGAGCCAAUUCUAGCCGUCUUCUCCGUCUGCUAAGGAACAAGAAAAAUGUGUUUGGUGUUUUUUUUCAGUUUUCAUCCAUUCUCGCCUGCUGAUGCAUUGAUUUGGACACCAUUUUCUUGACUUGUCUGCUGAAACCUUGAUUUGGAAACCAUCUUCUUUGACUCAUUCAGUACUCGCAUAGUGCAUCAUCGAGAUGUGGCCUGGUCAGACUUGAUUUCUCCGACUACUCAUCCCAGGAUGUGGAAUAAGAUCUUUUGAUACUUGACGGAGGUUACGGCAUCCAGCUUUAUCAGCCAAGGUCGUCCUAAAAUCCCAUUGUAGGGAAACAUGUUGCUUACUAUUGUGAACGUUUGUUUUGAGAUAACUGGAGGUGUUAUCAUGUCAAGUGUUAUGUUGCCAAUAGUAGUCGAGGUGUGUCUGUUGAAUCUAGUGAAUACCUCCGUUUGGCAUAUGGUUGUGCUUUCUAGGCCUAUCUUUUGAAUUACUAAGAACUGAAGUAGGUUGAUCAUAUUUCCGUUAUCAACCACCAUUCUGUUGACUAUAGCGUGGGCUAUUUAGACAGAUAUAAAAAAUGUGUCGUCAUGUGGGAAGUCGACGCCUUCGACAUCCAGCUCAGUGAAGCCAACAAUAGGUAAGUUAAGUAUUGACUACCUGGAUCUAAGAGACUAAUAGAGCCUGUUGGAUCUUAUUCUGCUUGGAGUUGUUGGUGGCCCUCGAGUGCUAGGAUUCAACGAAGAUCCCCUCGAUCCGAAUUGUCUUGGUCAGCAACUUUUUAUUAGCGUCUAUGUUUCUUCUAGGCUACUCAGCUGGCUUGUUCAAGUAUCUGUUGACCUCACCUUCUUUCACCAGCUUCUCUAGGUAAUACCUUCAAGUGUAGCAGUCGUUGGUCGUGUGACCAAGAUCUCAAUGGAAUAUGCAGUACUAAAUGUGGUCCAACUUGGAGGUGUCUCCCCUUGAUUGCUUCGGCAGCUUGAACCAUGGCUCACUCUUGAUGUGGCGGAGGAUUUGGUGGAUCAGGAUCGUUAACUUAGUAUAGUUCUUGGACAUCAAGCCUCCUUUAGUCGAGGAUCAGUCCUUGCACUUGACCUUCGGCCUGCUUUUGUUGUAGUACUGCUUUAUGUUUUCCUUCUUUUGAGCUACUGUCGAUUCUUUGCGAGGCUGCUGGGGUGUCAUGUCUGCUUGUUGAGCCUCGUCCCAAAGUGUAUGCUUUUCUGACAUAGUGAAUGAGACUGCCAGAGUCAGAUAUUCUCUCAUGGUCAAUUUUUUUAAAUAGGGGGUGGUUUGUUCAAAGUCUUUUUUGGAAGGCUACAUUAGUUAUCGAGUCGUUGCAGAGCGACUCCUUUGGGUUUUUCUUAAUGUUGAACAGACGGUUAGACUUAUUUUUGAUCGACCGAUAAGAUGAAUAUUCCUUGGUGAAAACCAAAGAAAGCUCAUCGAAACUCCGGAUGGAUUAUGGCAGUAGGCUGUGGAACCAGUCUUGUGCCUCGCCUUGCAAAGUAGUGGCGAAUAUCUUGCACAUGAGGGCAUCAUUGUUCCGAUAAAGGAUCAUUGCAUCGCGGUAGUGUUUUACAUGCCUCUUUGGGUGUCCAUCUUUCUUGGAAGAUGUGAAACAUGGCAUGAUGAACUUGCGUGAAGGCUCUGUCUGCUCGAUCUCGUAUGUGAAAGGUGACCUACUUAUGUUAGUCAUGUCCCGUCAAAGCGCCUCAUCCGUAACUUCAUUACACUAAAAGUCGUGCAAUCAUUCGAUCAGGAACCUCUUUACUUCUUCCUGAAUUUCCUUUGCUAGGGUAGUGGAGCUUUCGACUGCCCCCAGUUGUGACCUAUUGGUCUAGGCCGCAAUGCAUGUGGUACGUUCCUAGCAGGGGAUCGGGUUACUCGCAGGUUGUCGGUUGAACUUGAGCCAUAUUAAGUGACUGUUUAUCUUUGUCCGUCGUGCUGCCUACUCCGAUAUGACUUGGAUGGUGCUCCUUGCGGGCCUAGCCAUGAAUAAACACUUCGCUUAGAAGGUUGUCCAUGUUUAUUAUCAGAGGGUGGCCCUAAUCGUGAAUGUAUGCUCUUCAGUGGCUUAAUCGGGAGCUUUUCUGACCCAAUACCUAGGCCUUUUUAAUAACACCAACGACGACAAUGAAACCAAUUGUGCUUUUGUUGUAGAGCUUGACACCAUACAGAAUAUCGAAUUAGGUGACAUCAAUAACAACAAUGUUGGGAUUGAUAUUAAUGGUUUGCACUCUAGGAAAUCAGCUCAAGUAAGAUAUUAUGCUUAGAACAAUGGGGGGUCCCGGAACUUGAUGUUGACUUGUAUAUAGUUUCCUACAAUUUAGGUUUUCCGAGUUAGGGUUAAUCCGUUGUAAUCUGGGAUUGUAAUUAUUGUAAUUAUCCUUUUCUUAUCAUGGCAGAUCUAGGACUGUAUAUUAUACCUCAAAGUGAGAAGAAUAAUAUAACGAUUCAAAUCAUUCUCUUCUUGGUACCAGAGCCAGGUCGAAAAAGAAAGAAAGAAAAAAAAAAACCUCACCGUGUUGAAUGGUUCAGCGCGCAAUUUAAAACCCAACUUGUCGUGCAUAACAGUAGCAUGGUCUAUGAUCAACGAGCAAUGUUUUUGUACCAUUGUUGUAGAAAACUGCACUAAGUGACUAAGUGUCGUUGUUAUCCUUAAAUGACAGCGAGUGAUUCCUUCAUCAUUGUUGUACAGGAACAUGUGCAAAAAGUCUUGCAACCCAGACAAAUCUGCAGUGUGCAACCCUGUGUUUCCUCUUCGCUUGUCCUUACAUUCCCUUGAUUAUCACCAUCGCCUCUCAGCCGUGCCAGGGCUUCGGUGCGUUGUCCUGAUUCGUGAUCAGUGAACAACUUUGUGUUGUUGCAGCUUCGUCCUGAUUCUCAAGCAGGGAGCAGCUUUCUACAUUGUUGCUGCCCAGACUCGAUCAACACAACACAAGAUCGUCCAGUCAAUUAUCUGCGUUGUUGCUCCAAUAAUUGUUGUCUAGUUAACUUGCUACCCAAAAUUUUUGUCAACGAAUUUUUUUUUUUUUUACCCAUGAAGGGUGAUACUGACAAGGCCAAGACCACUACUAUGGCAGGCAAAACAUGUGCUUCCGUUGCUAAAUCUAAAAACACAUUAGAUUGUAUAAUUGACCAAGCAUUAACCCUGAGUGCCGUGGUAGGUAAAGAUGGUAAACCUCUAUACAUUUAUACUACUAUUAUGAAUACUACAUGGAUAAUUAAUUUAGGGGCUACUGAACAUAUGACUUAUGAUUCUAGACAGGUUCCAGUUCUAAAACUCUGCACUCAAACAAUUGACAAUGUCGUUGAUGGUAAUGCCGCCUUUAUUCUCGGGGAAGGCACUGCAACUUUAUCUAAUGCCAUGAAACUUGAUACUAUUCUUGUGGUUCCAUCCUUAAAUUAUAAAUUGUUAUCCAUUGCACACAUAAACUUUGGCUUACAUUGUUUGGUUAUUUUUUAGCCUUAUUUUUUUAUUUUCAAUGACAUCUAUACGAGGAAGACAAUUGGUUAUGGUAUUAGACGAGGAAAACUAUACUACUUGGAGUUGACAUCACAAAGUACUGGAUUGUUGGCUCAAGCUCUUUUAGUUGGCUCACCUCGGGGGGAGAAUAAUAAAGUGUCAGACGUCUGGAUGUGGCAUUGUCAUCUUGGACACGCUUCAUUUGGUUACUUACAUAAGCUAUUUCCUUGUUUGUUUGCUAAGACUAAUGUUUCUCAGUUUAAGUUUGGGGUUUGUGAAAUGGCCAAAAGCCAUAGAGCUAAUUUUCCUUCGAGUUUGAACAAAGUUGUGUUCCUUUUAUGACUGUGCAUUCUAAUGUGUGGGGUCCAUCUAAAAUUACUACUCAACAGAAUGAAGUUGAUGAAUGGAAAAAUAGAUACUUGUUAGAGGUAGUUCAUGCUUCUCUUUUCGCGGCACAACUCCCCUUACAUUAUUGGGACGAAGCCCUAACUUCGGCAACAUAUCUUAUCAACCAUCUCUUAUCUCACACCAUUGACUUCCAAACACCAUUGCAAGCCCUCAUGUCUCAAACUAAUUGUCCACCAGUUUUGAAUCUUUCUCCAUGUGUAUUAGGAUAUGUAGCAUUUGUCCACCUCCACCCACCGUAAAGACAUAGUAAACUUGAACCUCGCGCUGCUUGUUGGGUAUUUUUGGGAUAUGCCAUAACUCAAAAGGAUUAUCGUUGUUAUCAUCCUCUAACCAAGAAAAUGUUUGUCACAAUUGAUGUAGGUUUUCAUGAAAAUGAGAUGUAUUAUGAUUCGUUUGAGUCCUCACUUCAGAGGGAGAUACGAGAUGAUGAAGUUGGGACCCUUGAUUAUGUUACCCCGAUUGGAAUUGACGUGUAGUAACCCACAUUAGCUGAGGAGCCCACGACAUUUAGGCUUCAGGACAACCAAUAGAAUCGGCCCACAUCUUUUGGGCUUUAGAAGCAGCAGGAUCUGGCUUCAAGAUCAACAGGACCAAUCCAUGGCUUCUAGACGUCAGAAACAGUAAGACCAGCCUAUGGUUGGCGGGCUUCAAGGCCAAUAGGGCCAGCCUGUGACUUUUGGAAACAUAGAGUAUGACACGAAUCAACAGAUGAUCCACCAGUUCGUCAUCUUCCAAAGCGCAUUAAUCGAGGUAUUCCUAAACCUAGUAUGAGGCUGAUCCUAAAUGUAAACACAAAUAUCAUGUGAGUGAACCAAACUUAGAUUCAGGGUGAGAUAUCCAUUGAACAAUUAUGUGUCUACUCGCCACCUAUCGAAAUCAAAUAAGUUAUUUAAUUAUCAAUUAUCUACUGUAUCUAUUCCUAACAGUAUGCAGAAGGCCUUAGCAGACGUCCACUGGAAAAAAGCAAUGAAUGAGGAAUUGAGAUCAUUGAAGAAAAAUGCUACUUGCAAAGUAACAGACUUGCCAACUAUCAAGAAACCUGUGGGAUGUAAGUGGGUCUAUACAAUGAAAUACAAAGUAGAUGGAACAGUUGACUGUUUUAAAGCAAGGGUGGUGGCAAAAAGGUAUACAUAGAAGUAUUGGAUUGACUAUAAUGAUACCUUCACAUCAGUGGCUAAAAUCAACACAAUCCAGGUUUUACAAUCCUUAGCAGCAAGCUUAAAUUGGUUGCUACAACAGUUUGACGUAAAAAAUGUCUUCUUACAUGGAUAUUUGACCAAGGAGAUAUACAUGGAACUCUUACCAGGAAGUAACGUUCCCACCAUGCAUAGACAAAAGGUGUGUAGACUUAGAAAAUCAUUGUAUGAGUUGAAGCAAUCUCCGAGAGCAUGGUUUGGUAGGUUUACCAAGUCCAUGAAAGCAUUUGGAUAUAAGCAGAGUAAUUGUGAUCACACAAUAUUCUUGAAGCAUCAGAAUGGAAAGCUUACAACAUUCAUUGUAUAUAUGGAUGACAUAGUAGUCACUGGUAACGAUCCGAAUAAGCGUGCAGCUUUACAGAAAUAUUUAUUUACUAAAUUUGAGAUGAAGGAUCUUUAGUCUCUAAAAUAUUUUAUCAGGAUUGAGGUGUCAAGGUGUAAGUCAGGAAUUUUUGUAUCCCAAAGAAAGUAUAUUAUUAACCUAUUGAAAUAAACCGAUAUGUCUGUAUGUAAACAUGUGACUACUCCCUUGAUAGAAAGAAUGAAGCUCAGUAUUGAUCCAAACCAAGUACCAGUUGAUGAAGGGAAAUAUCAAAUAUCAGUGGGACGAUUAAUGUAUUUGGCACACACUAGGGCGGACCUUGAGUGUAGUUAGUCAAUACAUGCAUGAUCCAAGAGAACAACACAUGAGUGCCGUUAUGAGGAUAUUGAGUUAUUUGAAAGGAAGUUCGGGAAAAGGUAUUUUGUUCAAGAAGAAUGGUCAUUUCAGAAUUAAAGGUUAUACGGAUGCUGACUGGCUGGUUCGACAGAUGAUAAGUGUUCUACAUCUGGUUAUUUUACCUUUGUUGGUGGAAACUUGGUCACAUGGAGAAGCAAGAAGCAAAAUGUAAUAGCAAGGUCAAGCGCAGAAGCAGAAUAUAGAAAUAUGGCACUUGGUAUCUGUGAGAUUUUAUGGCUUAAAUUUAUGUUACGAGAUUUGGGUGUCAAACAUAGUCAGCCGAUGAAGUUGUUUUAUGACAAUAAGGCUACUUGUGAUAUUGCUCACAAUAAUGUACAGCAUGAUAGGACCAAGCAUGUUGAGGUUGAUAUGUUCUUUACUAAAGAAAAAAUAUAAGGAAAAAUAAGUGAAGUUCCUCCGAUCAGAACGGAAGAUCGAGUAUCUGACAUUCUCACCAAAGCAGUUUCAAGUGAAAAGUUCUCUAAGUUUAUAGACAAAUUGGGCAUGUGUAAUAUAUAUGCGAGUAAAUUAUAGCUAUGGUCCCUUAACUUUAUGUCAAUUGUAGCUUUGGUCCCUCAACUAAAAAUCCAUUAGAUAUGGCCUUUCAAUUUGCCAAGCUAUGGAGCAUUGGUCAUUCCGUUAUGUUUACUGUUAAUAUGCUUGUGUGGUAGUACAAUGGAACCCACAAUUAUAUUAAUAUGGGUGUCGAAUGGAAUAAAGAAUUAGGUAUAUAAGUUAGAUUUUUAGUAUAAAUAUUCGACAAAAGAAACAAAAAUAAAAAUAAAACAUGAUUGCCCUCUCCCAUCUUUCAUCCUCCCCAUUCCAGGAUCUCUAUAUCUCUCGUAGCUGCACACCAAAGCAAUCACACACCACAUACUUACCCAUUCCAAGAUUAAACUACCUUCAAUCUUCAUUAUUCGGGCAGAUGGGGACCUCAGAAUUACAGGUAGUGUUACUCCAUUCACUGUCGAUUUGGGUUUGAUCUGGGUUUUGAGAACCAUAUGCGGAGGGGAAAACUAAUGGGGUUUAUUUUUAGACCGUUUGGGAAGAGUUCGGCACAUCAAAAUUGAGGGAAAUGGAGUCAAUUGGUGGUAAUUGUGACAGUCUUGCCAUUGUACAGAGAACUAUGUUUUUAGGGUAUUCAAAUAUUUUUUUUUUGGUCAAGGGUUUUCAAAUACUAUUCCUUCUUACUGUACUUGUAGGUCCCAUCUGCUAGCCAUGUAAGCACCUUAACGGAAUAUUUGACGGUGUUAGAACAAAAUCACUGAUGCUCCACAUUUUAUGAAGUUCAAGGACUAUAUCUAAUUGAAUUUUAGUUGAGGGAUCGAUCAAACCUACAAUUGGCUUAAAGUUUAGGGACCAUAGCUACAAUUUACUUUAUAUAUGUGAUGAGUUGAUUUUAUAUAAUAUAGGACAUUUAUAUAAUAUAGUAUGUUUUGAUAAUUAUUUUGGUAGAAUUUUGAUACUUUGCUUUAUAUUUUCAAUAUAGGACAUUCGACUUCCUCUAAAUCAAAACAUGAUCAAACGAAUGAAUUUUAAAGUGAUUCAAAUUGGAGGAUGUUCAUGAGUCCAUUAGCUUGUACCUUUCAAAAUAUCAGAUUUUUCUACCAAGUGGUUAUUUUCUGGCAAUGAAAUAAAGAAGCAGUGUGCGGUGUUGGAAAGUGACGUUUUUGUGCUUAAUUGCGAUUUUUGGAGCUCAAGAUGACCUCUGAUGGAUUCGUGACCUUCUGGAGAAGUGUUCAGAAUAGUCGAAGCUUUAAAUAUAGCUAUUUUGGGCCAGUUUUGGAGCAGAUAUGGGUCCAAAACGUGGUCGUGUAGAUUUUGGGCUGAUUAUCCUAAUCAAUUUAGGAUUAUAUUUCCUAAUUUAUUUGGUUUCCUAGUUUUGUUCUAAGUCCUUUUCUAGGAAGGAUUGGAUUUUCUAUGUAGUAUAAAUAAGCCUUUUGGCCGGCCCUAGUUCUUCUUCUUGAUGUGAUAUUGGAGUGAGGAAUUUGGCAAAAACAUAGAAAUUUUCAGACUUUAUUCUACAAGGUGUUUUCACUCUUUUUAAUUAUGAAUAUGCGUAACUAACUUUCGCCCUAGUAGCGAGGCCAUGAGCCUUAACAUGAAUAUGUAGUUUUUAUUUAAUUGCUUAUGAUAUUAUGCAUGUAGACUUUGAAUUAUUAAUCACUGUGUUUAAAUUGUCUCUAUAUAUUAAUGCUUAGCUACCAUUAGGAUAUUUAGAUAAGUAAUUGGACGCAAUUCGGUCGGAAUACCACCAGAGGAUUGAAUAUUGAUUCUUGUGAUUGAUAGUUGUAAUUUCACUUAGGACGAAUGUCAUGUCUUAAGGGUUGCAUGUUUUUCAAAGGGUUUUCACAAAGCGUAAUGAGUCAUGCAUGUUUAUAUUUGAUCUGAAUGUCACAGGUGGAUUGCAUGUUUGAUAUACGUUCUAUCUUGAAUAUCACAAGUAAAAUAUACAUUAGGAAAACCUAACCUUGAAUGUCACAUCCUGACCCGGGGCCCCACCACAUUCCGGGCUCGACUCCGCCGUAGUACGAUAUUAUCCACUUUAGGCCCCGAUCACGCCCUCACGGUUUUGUUUCUAGGAACUCACACGAGAACUUCCCAGUGGGUCACCCAUCAUGGAAUUGCUCUCAUGCGAACUCGCUUAACUUCCGAGUUCCAAUGGAACCCAAAGCCAGUGAGCUCCCAAAAGGUCUCGUGCUAGGUAGAGAUGAGAAUAUAUAUAUAAGGCUUACAUGAUCCUCUCCCCUAGGCGAUGUAGGAUGUUACAAUCCCCCCUUAGGGGCCCGACGUCCUCGUUGGCACACAUCCGGCCAAGGAUUGGCUUUGAUACCAAAUUGCCAUAUCCCGGCCUGGGCCCCUACCACAUCCUAGGCUCAACUCUGCCGUAGCACGAUAUUUUUCGCUUUGGGCCUCGACCACGCCCUCAUGGUUUUGUUUCUGGGAACUCACACGAGAACUUCUCAGUGGGUCACUCAUCAUGGGAUUGCUCUCGCGCGAACUCACUUAAUUUCCGAGUUCCGAUAAAACCCGAUGCCAGUGAGUUCCCAAAAGGCCUCGUGCUAGGUAGAGAUGGGAAUAUACAUAUAAGGUUUACAUGAUCCACUCAAUCACCCAUAUCGCCCAAGAGAGUGAAUCCUAUAAGCUGUAUAUGUAUAUUCUCAUCUCUACCUAGCACGAUGCCUUUUGGAAGCUCACUGGCUUCGGGUUCCAUCAGAACUCCGAAGUUAAGCGAGUUCGCGCGAGAGCAAUCCCAGGAUGAGUGACCCACUGAGAAGUUCUCGUGUGAGUUCUUAGAAACAAAACCGUGAGGGCGUGGUUGGGGUCCAAAAAGGAUAAUAUCGUGCUACGGUAGAAUCAAGCCUGGGAUGUGGUAGGGGCUUGGGCUGGGAUGUGACAUUCAAAGUUGCAUAGGUAAUUCAUAAAUAAUUAGUAAAUCUGCAUAGGAUUGUUAGUAUGACAACAGAAUCCUAAUGCUUUUCCAAACUUAUUUCUCAAAACCUUUUCUUUUUUGUCUGAUUUCUUCUUAAUUGGUUACUAGUUGUUUUUCCUAAAUUGCUUUUAUUAAAUUUGUUUUUAUUAUAUUUAAAUUCAAAAUCAACCCUUUAUAAUCCUUGUUUUCAAAUAAUUAACUAAGAUUUUGGUUUUGCAUAAAUUGUUUUAGAUAAUUCAUGUGGGAACAACCUUGCAUAAGCAUUUUUACUACAAUUACUUUGUUCUCUUACUAGUAUUUUGUGUGAUUUUAACCCUCUUUGUGCAGGUACUAAAAAUCCUAUCAAAUACACCAACUUAAGGUAGAAUGUUGACUUGUAUAUAGUUUCAUACAAUUUAAGACUUUCUAGUUACGCUUAAUCCCUUGUAAUUUGGGAUUGUAGUUAUCAUAAUUAUCCUGACCUCUGUACUUGCCCAUAUUCGGUUGGGAAAAAAAAAAAAACCAGGAUUCUUUUCACCUCCUCACUGAAAUUCAAGAACAGAGCGUAGAUUGAAUUUCGACGUUUAAGGUUACGGUAAAAACAAAAUCUAAAACUGGUAAAAAGGAAAAUCCAAAACAGCCCCCCAAAUUAUAAUUUCAACGCGUUUCUGGUCGAAUUUUGGUGAGUUGUUAAAGAAGGAAACUGGGUUUGAUUUGAAGGUUCGACAAUUAAGAUUUUGGUUUUGCGGGGUUUUGCCGUGGAAGGAGGCGCGGAGGAAACUGAGAUUCGACCUAAAGGAGACAAAUAGAUCGAAAUCAUGUUCACCCACUUAUGAUUAUCACAAGAGGGAGGUAAUCAGUACCAUCCUUCUUGAUUAUCACCAUCACUAUCCCUCCAUCCAAAGUUCCAUACAACGUACGCACAAGACCGUCACUGGAAAGUCUUCAUAGUGGUGGACUGAUCGUCGAUUCAAUUUAAUACAUAAAAGACAAGAGUCACAAGACUCCAAGUCUGCAACACCAUCUAAACUAUGAUCAAACUGAGCAAGUGGCCAUGAUCAAUUCCAAGGCCCGGUUAAGGUCAGACUCCCAAAACUUGAUUGAAAUUAAGAAUAAUUGCCUUGUUAAUUACAAGAUAUUAUUUUACAUAAUAUGUUGUUAUUAUUUGCACAUUACCAUCAAAUAUGGCCAGCCACUCUUCACCUAAGGGGCCGGCUACUCUUCUAUAAAUACUUCUCUUAUCUCACUAAAAUGCCAAGUUAUUGGUUACCCAUAAACUCCUAAAUAUAUUCUUUUUAAAAUUUUAACUUUGAUAUCGGAAAUUCUUCGGACAAAACCCCAUCUCUCAAUUCAUUAGGGAUGCGUGAGGUUUCUGACCUUAAUCGAAAGUGUUAUUAUUUUGCAGUUACAUUUUCGUCAAAGAAAAAAAUAAAAAGAAAUUUACAUCCACAAUCUAGGCUCAGAUUAGCAGACCGGAAGUCAUUGUAGGUGAAACCAACAUUUUCAGCUGCUACUAGGUUUACUAGUAGAAAUAAUACAAGAUUAGCAGACCGGAAGUCAUUGUAGGUGAAACCAACAUUUUCAGCUGCUACUAGGUUUACUAGUAGAAAUAAUACAAGCCAGAAAAACACGGCUGCCAUUCUUAAUUCUCUGUCAAGUCCUCUGAACUUUCAGUACAUAUAUACUUCAGUUUUAAGACUUACCACGUGUAUAUAAAAGCAAUAUCAAUGCAGCUAAGAUGACAGCAGACAGAUUGACUUCGUUGUCGGUCUAAUUAAAUAUUCCGUCUUUUGUGUCCAAUGCCCUCCACCACUUGUAACUGGUCCAUCCCCUAACGAAAAGUACUUCUUCCAUGCAAACGUACGCGCAAGACCAUCACUCGAAAGUCUUCAGAGUAUAUUUGCUUCUUGUUUAGUUAUGUAAAAUUCUCUUCACAUCGAAAUACUGAAAUUUCAACAAUUUUACUGCUCUUUCUAUUUGAUUAUCUACAAGACUAUAAAAACUUUUCAUGCAGAUUGAAAAUUUCAUAAACUUAGAGGCUGUUAGAUAAUUAUUCGUUUUCAGUUUUCAGUUUUUAAUUUUUUGAAAAUUUAAAACUAGUUUGGUAACUACUAUCGUUUUUCAAUUUUCGUUUAAAAACUCAAGAAUGUAGUUUUCGCUUUUGGUUUUUAGUUUUCAAAUUGUGGGUGAAAGUAGUUACCAAACGAGUUUUUAGUUUUAGUUUUUGAAACAAAUGGAAAAAAAACAAAAAAUAAAAAACGAAAUGGUAAGGAAACUGCUCCUUAUUAGUUCUACCAGGGUUCUAGUCAAUGUAGUCAUAUAGAUUAAAAUUUCACAAAUAUAUUAUUAGGAAAGUGUAAAAGGAAGCAAACGGGAGAAAAGAGAAACCUGCAUGCCAAUUGUAAUCACAAUUAAUAUGAAUCUUCACACUUCACAGUUCACAGUGACGCACAUAUACAUGUCGAAAGUAUAGUUUUAAGAGGAAUUUGUGGCGAUGGAGCAAAGUAGUUGGAAGCAAAAACGCAGAAAAGCUAGGGUCUCGAGGAUUUUUUUCCUACUUCUACAUGUAUCAAAUAAUGGAGUUUCAACCAAAACCCUAACACUAGGAAAUGGCGGAACCUCUUUUACUGUGAUAUUUGGCGGUGGUGAAGUAUCUGAAAGUCGAGAACUUGAGGAGUUGCUGAGCUCUCUGCCAUGAACAAUUCAACAGCCAGCACUGUGACUUUGGGCCAAGCAAAACUUCAUUUGAAAGUCCAAUUUAAUUGUAAUUGUUAGAGGUGGCAAAGCCCAUUUCACAAAAUUCUUUCCUAUACUUUUUCUAUUUUAUUUUUAUACAAGAUCAACUAAACUACAGGAGGCAGGAGUUGCUAUGACGACGUGAGUUUGAACCCCAUCAGUAACUAAUCUAACAUCUAAUUUAACAAAAUUUAUCGUUUUACAAAAAAAAAAAAAAGAAGGAAAAAAAUAAACUAUGGGAUGCAAUUUGAACUUGAAUGUAGAAGGAAAAACACAUUGUUCUAAUCAACUUAACUAGCAAGUCUCUUUCUAUGCUUUAAUCUUCGCCAUUGAUUUGUUAUUAUGGACAUUAUUUUAUUCAAGUGGUGGUGGAAACUAAAUUAUACUAAAUGAUUGGGACACAGAUUCAUACUCUUUUAUCCAAGUGCCCAGAAUAGACCAAAUCGGACCCAGACUGGUUCAUGCGAACCACCGGCCGACUGCCGGACCUAACUUGGUUCUGAUCUGACAGACCGAUCCAUUCGCGGCCCAAAAAAAAUUCCGACGAGGUCAGCAAACCAUUUUUCGGGUUCCAAACCCAUUUUUCAAUGUUUCAAACUCGUUUUUGGUGUUUUUAUGCAGAUUUGACAUAUUCCAGCUUAAAUCUCACACCCGAAGUCCAUGACACUUCCACCUCUCAAGCAAACGCAUACCGUCCAAGCUCUUCCACCCCAAAUGACGAACAGACGAGGUGUCCUGACGAACAUCUCUAGCAGCGUCCCGACAAGUAGUCAUUCGAACAGCCACAAACCGAGUGUUCUGACAAUGUACACUCUCGCCUGGGUCACCGAGAUAGCGUAUACUCUUGUCUUAGUGCACGUAGGAGCAUGAACUUUCGGUUAGGCCCACGGACGAGCAUAUAUUCAGGGUUGAGGUCACACUCCAAUAAUUAAUGUGGACAACCUCCAAACGAAGUGUUCAUUCGCGGCUAGGCCCACAAGGAGCAUCCUCCACCUCACAUCAAAGUAAGCAGCACGACGGAUGGAAAGAAUCAGUCACCAAUCCAACUUAAGUUUAAUUGGCAGUCUGCGAGUAACUGGCUUGCCUGCUAGGAACAUACCACCUGCAUCGCAGCCACGACAUAGACGAGCUAGGCACAGGGAAAAACAGGUCAUGACCAGGGGCAGUUGAAAGCUUUGUUACCACAACAAAGGAAAAUUCAAGUAGACAUAGAUAGGCUAAUGAUCGACUGAUUGUGCAACUUCCAGAGCAAUGAAGUUAUGGACGAGGCGCUCCAACAAGACACAAACAAUAUAAGUAGGUCACUUUUCAUGGAUAAGAUCGAGCAGGCAAACUCAUCAUUCCACAUUUCACAUCUUUCAAAAGAGAUGAAUACCCGAAGAGGCUCUUAAAGCACUACCAUAGCGCAAUGAUCCUUUAUCGGAACAACGAAGCUUAAGAACUAUACAAAGCUCUCGAUCUCGAUCCCCCAAAUCCUCUGCAACAUCAAGAGUGAACCAUGGUUCAAGUUGCUGAAACAAUCGAAGGGAGACACCUCUAAGUUGGAUCACACUAAGUACUGCGAAUUCCAUCGAGGUCCCAAUCACACAACUGAUGAAUGCCACACUGGGAGGAAUUACCUAAAGAAGUUGAUGACAGAAGGCAAGGUUGACGGAUACUUAGACAAGCCAGCUGUACAUCUCAGAAGAAACGCAAACACCGACGAAGAUCCACUGACUAAGACAAUCAAUAACAUCUUAUCCGAAUCUAAGCACUUGGGGGCUACCAACAACUCCAAGAAGAGGAAGAUCUAACAGGCUCUAUUAGUUUCAUAGGUCCAGGUAGUUGACACCCAACUUGGACCUACUGAGCAUAAUGCUGAAUGAGUUGACUUCCUAAACGACGAUGCCUUAGUGAUAUCUGUCCAACUAGCCCACGCUAUAGUUGACAGAAUAAUGGUUGACAACGAAAGUGCGAUCAACCUACUUCAACUAUCAAUAAUUCAGAAGAUGGUGGCCUGGAAAACACAAUCAUAAGCCGAGUGGAGGUACUUACCAGAUUCAACAUACACACCUCGACCGAUAUUGACAACAUUACACUUGACGUGAAAACACCGCCAGUUAUCUCAAAACAGACGUUCACGAUAGUAAGCGACCUGUCUUCUUACAAUGGGAUUCUAGGGCGACCUUAGAUGAUAAGGCUGGAUGCCUUAACCUUCGACAAGUAUCAAAAGAUUCGAUUCGAAAUCCUGAGAGGAGGAGUUAGAGAAAUCAAGUUUGACUAGGCCACAUCUCGACGAUGCACUAUGCAAGUACUGAAGUAGUCAAAGAAGAAGUAUUUUACCCCUAGAGGCUACCGAAGUUCAAAAGAAUGACAAAGCUACCAAAUAACAAUUACAACAGACUGAUCAAGAAGAUGAUGUCCAAGUCAACACAACAACAUAUGAGACUGGAUGGAAACCUAAAGGCCGAACACAUCAUUUUUGAUCCACGUCAGCCAGAAAAGACGGCUAGAGUUGAAGAGGAAAUCGACAAGCUAUUGGAGGCUGGGUUCAUAGAAGAGGUAGUACAUUGAACAUGGUUUCCUAACAUUGUGCUAGUAAUGAAGAAAUAAAAGGGCAAAUGGAGAGUUUAUGUAGACUACACCGACCGCCCGAAAGAUCCUUAUUCAGUUCCUUGAAUUGAUUUACUGGUAGAUUCAACUUCCAAGAACCAGCUACUUAGUUUCUUGGAUGGAUACUCCAGCUACAACCAAAUAGCCUUGCACAAGCUCGACAAGGAGAAAACAACAACUGUGAUCAAACGAGGCACCUACUGCUACAAAGUCAUGCCUUUUGGCCUCAAGAACGCAUGAGCUACUUGCUAACAAUUGGUAAACAUGAUGUUCAAGAAGAAACUUGGAGUAACCAUGGAGGUUUACAUCGACGACAUCAUGGUGAAUGGCAAGCAAUAGUGAGACCACAUUGGCAACCUGACAUAAACUUUCAACAUUCUUAGAUAAUACAAGAUGAAGCUCAAUCCCGCUCUAAACUAAUUGUAAUUUCAUUUAACAUGAAUUAUGAAAUUACCUUUUUGUCCCCAAUCCACUACCCAAUCCGGUUUCCUUUUUGGAUUUACUCCAAAUUCUCCCUCUUUCUUUACUCGCCACGUGGCAGCUCCUUCACCCCUACCUUUCACUUCUUAUUCUUCCCACUUUUCCCCCGAGUACUCUCUCUCAGCUCUUACUCUUGGAUCUCUCUCCCUCUCCUUGAGCUACACACCCAAAAAUCGAGACAACGACAUGACAAUAACACCACACCCGAUGUCGACUCUCUCUCUCUCCCUCAUCCUUCAUGAAGCAUAGAGAGCCCAGGAAAUCCUCCGGCGAGCCUCGUGGCUUGCGAGCUAAAAUCCGGCCACCUUACGACGUAAUAUAGGUAUGAAACUUUUCCUCUUGUCCUGCACUUCAAUUUAGUACUUAGAUCGUACCAUAGGGUGGAGAAUCGAUGUUGAACGGAGCUCGAGAAGCUCUGAUCUUCUUUUCCAUCGAAACUGGAUCGAAAUGACCUAAACCCGGUAACCCUUGAGCCCAAACCCAACUUAGCCCAAUACCUAAAUGAAAUCAGGCCUUUGGGUCGGGCUGCUGAGCCCAAACCCUUUUUGAAACCCAAGCCUAAACCCCAUCUAACCCAAAAACCUAAACCCUUUAAAGCCCACAGAACCCAGGCUCUUGGGCCAUGUAGAAGUGCCUUCGGCCCGUUGAACCUACGCCCAGAUCUAUUAGGCCUAUGCCCAGAGCCAAGCUCAAGCCCAAAAUCCAUCCCAACCCAAUUAAACCGACCUAAACCAAGAACCCAAGUCGCAUGUGGGCCGCACGUGCACUUGCGUGUGAAAGAUUACCGAUGUCGGUGCGUGGAGCACACGCGCCGCCUUUAGCGGCACCAACGACUUUUCCUACCAACUUUCCGGUGACCCACAAUGGCGCAUGGAUGCUGGAGCCGCCACCUUAUGGCAGCGCGUGAGAGCACAUAGGGGUACCCGAGGUCCCCCUUAUGUUUUUCGACGUCCUGAAUCCGUUUAUGAUGUUUGUUUUCCAAAAUUCAAUCGUUAUGAUAGAGUUUUAUUAAUUAGACCCUUUAUGUGCUUAGGUGCGAUUAUUAGCGAUGAUUCCGUUCUUCCUAAUUCAUAUGACUCUUUGAUAACGGAGUGUCUAUGAGUGGACUACUUCUAAAAUGUAUGUUUUAAUAGUAGAAAUGCAUACAUAAAAAGCAUGAUUUAAUGGUUACGUUUUAUGAGUAAAUUAGAUUUACACUUAUUGAUUAUCAUGCUUUACUGAGAAUAUUUUGGAAUACCUUACUUUAUCGAAUUUAUGUUCUUUGUACUAUAUAUAAUGGAUGACUAUAUACUAUUUAUGAACAUGUUUUUACACUCUUUGUAGUAUAUAUGAUGAAUGACUUUAUACUAUGAAGAUGUUUUGAGAUAUUUGUACUUAUGUUGGAAAGAUUAUGUUCAAUGUUUUUGUCCGUAUCUAGUGGUCACUGUCCUGCCUACGGGUGUAUGUCCUGCCUAUGAGAGAUUGUUCUGCCUACGGGCGAGUGGCGUAUGUUCUGCCUACAGGCAAUUGUCCUGCCUACGGGUGUAUGUCUUGCCUAUGGGCACGUGGUGUAUGUUCUGCCUACGGGCGCUUGAGGAGAGCCUUCGGGCAAUUAUGAUACCACUAGUUAGCACACUAUAUUUGAUAUAUGUUUUAUGAAAGGUUUUAUGGCAUGCUAGGGUUUUCGGAAAACCUAUCACAUAUUAUGCUAUUAGUUUUCAUAAACUUUGGGGGUUAGUACAUUAUUAAAUAACUAUGUUUGUGCUACUUAUAAAUCAACUUGGUCCACUCAUGUUUGUUUUGCGCCCCAUCAGGACAUAAGAACUAGGCAUACGAUCCAAGCUAUGAGGCAUUCCCCUACCAGUGAUAUUGGGCCAUCUUUUCUGCUUUUGACAUCACAUGUAAUAGCGAUUUCUAUAGACCUUUUGCUUGUAUUCUGAAUUAGAUGUAUACUAUGAACAUGUCAUGCAUUAUCAUUAUCAAUUUUACUGACGACUGAAUAUUAUUAUAUUAUUUUAGAAAGGUUUGUAUUUGAAUAUUACAUUGAGUAGUUCGUGCAAAAUUUAAAUGCAUGUUUCACAUGUUCCCGGCAUAUGAAUUCAUUAAGUGGCUUUCGUCACCCUUGGGUGUCAACUAGCAUGUGGCCAUCCCCUAUCCUCUGGACAUCGAGAUCGGGGCGUGUUAGAUUGGUAUCAGAGCAUACAUAGGACUUCAUUCCUCCAUUUGGUAAUCAUAAGCUUUUUUGUAUCUAUAAUCUUUCGGCCUUCUAAAUCUUGUUUGUUUCUUAUCAAAAUCAUGGAUCCUACUGGUGGGAAUGUAGCUCGACGGCCUUGUUCUCGUCUAAUGGGAGGAAUUUAGCAGUUGACCUCGGUGUUACAAAAUGUUUUUCCUGGUAGUAACAAGCCGAGUCGUACAUUUAUAGAGAUUGCUCAUAGCCACGAUGUUACAUAACUUGAUGUAGUUAGAACCUUUGAGGAGGCUGUCGAUUGGUUGGAAAAGAUGGAGGACACCUUAGAGAGUAUGAGAUGCCCAGUGUUUGAAUAGGCGAAUACCACUAGUUACUUCCUUUAGGUUCACGCAAAAUACUGGUGGAAGUUAGUGACGGGUUCUCACCCAUGUAAUUCUUUGAUGACUUGGGCUAUAUUCAGGAAACCAUUCAGCUCACACUUUUUGAGCUCCGGUUAUCAUCUGAGGAAGAGAUAGGAGUCCCUAGAGUUUCACCAGGGCAAUCUGAGUAUUACAGAGUUAGAUAGCACUUUUCGGUGUUUGGCAAUGCACUAUGAUGGAACCUGUAGGAACCAGUGGGUGAUGAUGAUACAACUGUAGAUUCCUAUGAACGAUGAUUAUCGUGAACUUAUGGCACCACAGAGGCAUGCAUCCUACGAGGAGAUGAUUGAGGAGCCCUUAAGGAUCGAACAGUCGAGGUGGAACAGACUUAAUCAGAAUCAGCCUUGGAGCCAAAACCAACCUCGAAACCAGAACUAGAACCAGACAUGGAACCAAAAUCAGCGGGGUUGUGGAUUCCGAUCCCGGAGUAUAAGGGAGACUUCUACUUCUUCUAAUUUCUUCGGCCCUAGAUGCUAUCAGUCAUUCAAACGAUAGGGUCAGAGAUCUGGAUCAUGAGGGCUCAAAUAGUGAGUCGAUGAGGCAAUCUUUCAGCCACUUUAAUCCAAGUGCAGCUGAUCCGAGCAUGUGUUACAGGUGUGGCGGCUUUGGACAUAUAGCCUAAAAUUACAGUACUCCACGUUUACUUGAUGAUUUUGCUUCUGGUUCGGGUUAUGGUAGAAGUAAUAAAUCGAGUUACAGUGGGGAUAAUUAUUCAACUACUCAGAGUUAUGAUGGGAGUAACAAUUAGAGUACUCAUGUCCGCGCUCAGAGGCAACAUUAAUUUUCUAGAGAAGCUUCAUGUAGUCGUGCUUAGGGGAACCGAGCAGGCCACAACAGCCAAGGUCCUAGGACACGAGGGGGCUGUAACAGUGGUUUGGUACGUCAGGUCUAUAAGCGUUUGAAUGCCAUGACCUAGCUGGAGGCGAAGCAGGAUCCCAAAGUUAUCGCUGGUACGUUACUUGUUUGUGGUAACUGGGCACAUGUUCUAAUUGAUUUGAGUGCCACUUAUUCAUUUAUAUCUCCACAAUUUGCACGGGUUCUGAACCCGAAACCUUUAUCGCUCGGUUUUGAUAUGUUAAUACAAUUGCCAAUUGGAGAUCUAUUCUAUGCGUAAUGAGAGUUUAAGGAUUACCUAGUUAUUGUUAAAGGGGAACUUAUGGAGGCCAAUUUGAUUCCCUUCAACCUAGGGGAGUUCGAUGUUAUUCUGAGAAUGUAUUGGUUAUCUAGGUACAAUGCUUAUGUUGGAUAUAGAGAGAAACUGGUGACAUUUGAUCGACCUGGGCGACCAAUGAUCAUGUUUCAGGGUGAGUGACGAAUCAUCCAAAAUAGUAUUAUUUCUACCAUCCAGACAUCUAAGUUAUUACAGAAGGGUUGUGUGGGAUUCAUAGCCUACGUAGUCAUGCGGGAUGAACCUUCUCUGUGUGCUGGAGAUGUGGCAGUGGUGAAUGAAUUCAUCGAUCUAUUUCUGGAAGAUUUGUAAGGGUUACCACCUACGAGGGAAAUCAAAUUCACCAUUGAUCUACUUCCAGGUACCAACCCCAUUUCUUUGGCACCAUACCGAAUGACACCAGUUGAGUUGAGGGAAUUAAAGAUUCAAUUACAGGAGCUUAUGGAUAAAGGCCACAUCCAGCCCGGCACGUCUCUUUGGGGUGUUCCUGUACUGUUUUUUAUGAAGAAUGAUAGGUCAAUGAGACUUUGCAUUGACUAUAGGCAACUGAGGGGUGCUUAAGUGUUCUUUAAGAUCGAUCUUUGUUCGGCUUACCAUCAGUUGCUGAUUCAGGAUGAAGAUGUACCAAAGAUUGCCUUCUACACUAGGUAUGGACACAAUGAGUUUCGUGUCAUGCCUUUUAGGUUAACGAAUUCACCCGCAACUUUCAUGGAUUUGAUGAACAAAGUUUUCAUACAGUAUCUUGAUCAGUUUGUGAUUAUGUUCAUUGAUGACAUCCUGAUCUACUCUAAGAGUAAUGUUGAGCACAUGAAACAUUUGAAGUUGGUCUUUGAGAGAUUAAGGAAACAUCAGUUGUAUGCGAAUUUCAGUAAGUGUUAGUUUUGGCUAGACCAUAUCAGUUUCCUCGGGCAUGUGGUUUCCGCAGAGGGAAUUAGUGUGGACCUUCAAAAGAUUUCUGCAGUGUCUAUGUGGGAACAACCGAGGAACGUUACUGAAAUGAGGAGUUUUCCAGGACUGGCUGGCUAUUAUUGACGUUUUGCGCAGGAUUUCUCGGCAAUCGCCUUGCCUCUUACUAGGUUAACCCGGAAGGGGGUCAAAUUUGAGUAGGAUGAGAGUUGUGAAUGAAGUUUUCAAGAGUUUAAACAGCAUUUUACUCAUGCCUCCGUCAUUGCUCUUCCGAACGAUGGUGGUGAGUUUGAGAUCUACAGUGAUGCAUCUUUGUUAGGAUUAGGUUGUGUUUUAAUGCAACAUGGGAAAGUUAUCGCCUAUACUUCCAGGCAGUUCAAGAAUCACGAGAGAAACUACCUCACUCAUGAUGUGGAACUCAGAGAAGUGGUAUUUGCUCUAAAAAUCUGGCGACAUUACUUGUACGGUGAAAAGUGCCGCAUCUUCACCAAUCACAAGAGUUUGAAAUAUGUCUUCACCUAGAAGGAGCUAAAUUUGAGGCAGAGAAGGUGGAUGGAACUCAUUAGUGACUACGACCGCACUAUUGGGUAUCAUCCUGGUCACGCAAAUGUCAUAGCGGACGCACUUAGCCAGAAAUCCUAUGGACAACUUGCAUCCUUUCGAGCUAUCCAUGUUCCCUUUCUGUUUUCUCCUCAAGAGACCGGUAUUGCUAGGAUGCCAGAUUCACAGGGAGCAUUGUUAGCACACUUCCAAAUUAGGCAUGUUUUGGUGAAUUUGGUUCGAGAACCUCAAGAGCUUGACCAACAGUGUGCAAACCUAAAUGAACAGGUGCAGAACAAUUCUAGGCGAGAUUUGACAAUUCAAAGAGAUCAAGCCUUGGUGAUGGGAAAUAUGUUGUUUGUGCCUAAGGACAAUGAUGUGGUGAAGAAGGAAAUUCUUGAUAAGGCUCACAUCUCGGUGUAUGCCAUGCAUCAGGAGAGUACCAAAUUGUAUCACACUAUUCUACAAUUCUACUACUGGUAUGGGAUGAAACGGGAUGUGGCAGAGUAUAUGAAAAGAUAUAUUGUUUGCUAGUAGGUGAAGGCGGACAAACAAAGACCUGAAGGGCUAAUGCAGAAUCUCCAUAUACCAGCGUGGAAGUGGAAAUACAUCACCGUGGAUUUCGUGUAUGGUUUUUCGAGAACGUGGUCGAGGUAUGAUGGCAUUUAGAUGAUUAUGGAUCGACUCACCAAGACUGUUCAUUUUUUACCUAUUCAACAGACCUACACCCUAAAGAAGUUGGCACAGUUAUUCAUCGACAAUAUUGUUAAACUUCAUGGUGUACCUGUCACCAUUAUUUUGGAAAGAGAUCCAGGAUUCACCUCCAAAUUUUGGAGAGCUUUCAAUGGAGCUAUGAAUAAUUAACUGUUAUACAACACUGCUUACCAUCCAUAGACUGAUGGUCAAUCUUAGAAGAUGAUUCAAACUUUGGAGGACAUGUUGAGAGUGUCUAUUCUUCAGUGGAAGGGUAGUUAGGAUAACUACUUACUUUGAUCGAGUUUGCCUACAACAACAAUUACCAUUCUAGAAUCGGCACGACACCGUUCGAGGCAUUGUAUGGGAAGGUGUGUCAAACGCCGUUGUGUUGGAAUGAGGUUGGUGAACGGGUGUUAGUGGGACCAGAAAUUGUCGACAUCACAAAUACUAACAUCCAGUUGAUAAAGAAAAAUCUAAAAGCGGCACAAGAUCGACAGAAAAGCAUUACAGACUGACAUUCUAGGGAUCGUGAGUAUGAGAUCGGUGACUUUGUCUUUUUAAAGUUGUCUCCCUGGAAGGGUGUGGUUCGAUUUGGUAAGCGAGGGAAGUUAAGCCCUCGAUAUGUUGGUCCCUACCGAAUUACGAAGAUAAUUGGUGCGGUUGCUUAUAGAUUGGAGCUGCCACUAGAGUGUUCACAUAUUCACGACGUAUUUCAUAUUUCCAUGCUUUGGAAGUAUGUGCCGAGUCCCUUUCAUGUUAUUCAAUUGCAACCAUUAGAAAUGAAUCAGGACGCGAGUUAUGUUGAAGAAUCAGUAGCGAUCAUUGAUUGACAGGAUAAAACUUUGAGGAGCAAAGUCAUAUCAUUAACAAAGGAGUUAUGAAGGAACCAUGCAGUCGAGGAAGCGACUUGAGAAAUAGAGAAACUGAUGAAGAGUCAAUAUUCGUAUUUAUUUAUUUGAAAUUGUAAUUUCGGGGACGAAAUUCUUUUAAGGGGGUAGAUUGUGAAACCCCGCCUUAAACUAAUUGUAAUUUCAUUUAACAGGAAUUAUGAAAUUACCUUUUUGUCCCCUAUCCACUACCCAAUCCAGUUCCCCUUUUGGAUUCCUUCCAAAUUAUCCCUCUCUCUUUGCUCGCCACGUGGCAGCUUCCUCACCCUCCAUAUUUCUCUUCUUCUUAUUCUCUCUUCUCCCCCAAGUACUAUAUGUCAGCUCUUACUCUCCGAUCUCUCUCCCUCUCCCCGAGUUACAUACACCUACACACAUAAAAAUCGAGACAACAACACGUUGGCAACACCACCCUCGGCGUUAACUCUAUCUCUUUCUCUUCCUCCGUGAAGCAUAGAGAGCCCAAGAAACCCUUCGAUGAGCCCCAUGGCUUGCAAGCUAAAAUUUGACCUAUUCCAGCCACCUCACAAUGUAAUAUAGGUACGAAACUCUUCCUCUCAUCCUACACUUCAAUUUGGUACUUAGAUCGUACCCUAGGGUGGAGAAUUGGGGUUGAAUGGAGCUCGGGAAGCUCCGACCUUUCCUUCCGUUGAAAUGAGCCAAACCCGAUAACCCUUGAGCCCAAACCCAACUCAGCCCAAAACCCAAAUGAAAUCAAGCCUUUAGGCUGGGCUGCUGAGCCUAAACCCUUUUUGAAGCCCAAGCCCAAAUCCCAAACCUUUUGGACCCAAGCCUUUGGGUCGUCCAACUCAGGCUUUUGGCCUAGUAACCUUAAACCCUAAACCCUUUAAAACCUUCAUAAGCCAGGCCCUUGGGCUAUGUAGAACUUGGGCCUUUGGCUCAUUGAACCUAGGCCUAGAUCCAUUAAGCCCAAGCCUAUAGCCAGGCCCAAGCCCAAAAAUCGGCCCAAACCCAGAACCCAGGUCCCGCUUGCGCCACACUUGAAAGGCUGUCGAUGCUGGCGUAUGGAGCACACGCGCCACUGUUCACGGCGGCGCCGGCAACUUUUCUGGCCAACUUUCCGGCAACCCAAGGUUCCCCUUGCGGUGGUGUGAGAGCCCGUGCGGCAACGCGUAGGGGUACCCCAGGUUCCCCUCUAUGUUUUUCGAUGUCUUGAAUCUGUUUAUGAUGUCCGCUUUCUGAAAUCCAAUCAUUAUGAUAAAGUUUUAUUAAUUGGACCCUUUAUGUGCUUAGGUGUGAUUAUUAGCGGCGAUUCCAUUCUUCCCAAUUCACACGGCUAUUCGAAUAUGGGGUAUUUGAUAAUAGCAUAUUUAUGCGACUUAGUUAGCUUGUUUUCUUGCACUUUUAUAGUUAGUUUGUGGUUAUUAUAGUGUUUUAAGCUAUUUUCGUGUGUUUGUAGGUCCAAAUGACAAAGUAUGCAAAAAAGUGCAAUUUGGAGGCUUUUGGAGUAGUUUUGAGCAUAAAAUGGAUAUCACAUGUUUGGAGCCAAAGGGAUGGACGAAAUUGAAGAUCAAAGGAGGCAAGAAAUGAAGAAAUGAACAUGAAGAACAAAGAGUUCAGAAUUGGAAGCCAAAGUUUCUAAAGUUGGAGGUUUCCAUUCUUGAAAGUUUCUAUUCUUGGAUUGGAAGUUUCCUAAUCUUUUUUCACCUUGGUUCCAACCCUUGCCGCACCUCUCAAGCUUCUUCCCUCUUGGAUUCUGAUUUGUUAGGCCCUUUUCCUUGUGGAUUUGGGUUCUACAAAUCCUUUUUCAGAAACUAAGUGGGCCAAAAAUCCUUUUCUUUGUUGAUUUAAACCCUAAACCGAAUCCUUAGGCCCUAAGCCUUAAAAUCUGCUAAGUUUAAACCCUAAUCUAUCCCCCCCUAAGGUUGUGCCGCACCUAACACUUCUAGAAGCCUAAAAAUCUGCACAAACCCUAGUUCUUUUCUCCCUUGGAUGGGCCAAGCCUUUUAUCUUCAAAACCCUAACCCUUUUCCCAUCAGAUUUUGUGAAAACCCUACCUUUGCCGUGCCUAUAUAUAUGUGUUUUUAAAGCCUAAAUUCGUCACCACCCUUCACACCAUUCAGAAAACACCUUGCCGCAACCCUAAUCACCAUUCUACAUCACAAAACACCAUCCUACAUCCAUAUACAUCUCUGCCGCACCUUUUGGAGAAGAAGGAGAGCCUUGUCGUGCAUUCCAUUGAUGAAGGAGGGCCUUGUGCGCAAGCCAUCUACAUCCUUGGGAGUUUUAAGAGUUCUUUCUUCCCUCGUUUCAGUUUCGAUGUUUAUUUUAAUUUGCUUUUCAAUUGCUAUGAACAUGUGGAACUAAACUCUUAUUAGUUAGUGGUGAAUUUGAAGCCAUGGACAUAUGUUAAUAUGAAUUGAUUCCUUUCAGUUAUUGUUUCGUAAAACAUGAAUGCGAUUUACUUAUCUAUUUGAUUGAUAACUUAUUCUUGUGUGUUGAUUAAGGAGGCCUACUUAGUAUGCAUGCUUGAAUCUGAUGCUAAAUUAUAAGGGACUUUCACCUAAUCGUUAGAAACUUAUAAUUACAAGUAGUGGAGAUUGUUAGUCAUAAUCGUGUUAAGUAGAUUCUUGGCAAAAGUAUCAUGCAGUUCAUAGUUAUAAUUGCCUUGUCAAUGCUUAUGAUUUCCAUGGAAUUUAAUGAUCUUUCAAUGUAUCUCUAUCAUGUUGUUCAUAUAGGGAACUUGAGAAGAAUAAUUUGGGUUGUUGCAUGCAUUCAUCCAAUUCAAUGAAUUUAGGGAAAUCUGAUAGUUAAUUUGUGCAUUCACGAUUAAUUUGGGGCAUUGUCGUUCAUGGUUUAAAGAAACAAUACUGGAAAUUGAUUUAUGUUGCAUAUGUUCAUGUGUGGAGAAGGAUCCUCUAACUAGCUUUUCACCUUUGAAUUCAUCUCAAUUUCGUUUUAGUCUACUUUGAUUUGCAAUUUGUAGUUUUAAUUCAAUUUCGUCAGAAAUCAAACACCCUUUUCUGUUUUGUGUUAUUAGGUCAGAAUCUGUCCUAAUUAGGUUCUUUAGAGUGUUUUGAGUCAAUAUAGGUUAGAAUUAUUCCAUAAACAUUGUUUGGGUCUUAGUUUAGUCUUAAAUUCGUCUAAUUUAAUCUCUAUAAUCUGUUUUGAGUCUAAUUGUUAGUAUUGUGCUGUUUUGAGUCUUUUAAGUGUUUUUUGAGUUUGUUAAGUUACAAUCUGUUUUCUUUUAAUCUUUUGAGUCAAAGUAAGUUUUGAUUUCGUCCACAUCACUUGUUAGGUUUAGAAUUAAGUCAAUUUCACUUAGUUUUGCAGAUUUGAGUGUCUUAGGUCAGUUUAGAGUCUAUAGAGUCUAUUCUUGUGUUUUUAAGUCUAGUUUAGUGUUUUAGAGUUUAAUUUGAGUAGAUUAGCAGCCCUAGUUAAUCCCCGGUUUAGAACGAUCCCUACUUACAUCUUUGCUACAAUUGUCAUCAAUAGGGUUUAAUUUGUGUGUCAAGUAAUUUUCACAUCAGUAUUUGUGAGUGAACCCCUUCUAAAAUACAUGCUUUAAUAGUAGAAAUGUAUACAUAAAAAACAUGAUUUAAUGGUUACAUUUUAUGAGUAAAUUAGAUUUACACUUUAUGAUUAUCAUGCUUUACUGAGAAUAUUUUGGAAUACCAUACUUUAUUGAAUUUAUGUUCUUUGUAGUAUAUAUGAUGGAUGACUAUAUACUAUUUAUGAACAUGUUUUUACACUUUUUGUAGUAUAUAUGACGAAUAACUAUAUCAUAUGAAGAUGUUUUGAGAUAUAUGUCCUUAUGUUGGAAAGAUUAUGCUCAAUGGUUUUGUGCGUAUCUAGUGGUCACUGUUCUGCUUACGGGCGUAUGUUUUGCCUACAGGCAAUUGUCUUGCCUACUAGCGUAUGUCCUACCUACGGCCAAUUGUCCUGCCUACAGGUGAUUGUUCUACCUACGGGCGUGUGAGGAGAGCCUUCAGGUGAUUAUGAUACCACUAGUUAGCACAUUAUUUAUGAUAUAUGUUUUAUGAAAGGUUUUGUGGCAUGCUAAGGUUUUUGGAAAACCUGUCACAUAUUAUGCUAUUAGUUUUCAUAAACUUUUGGGAUUAGUACGUUAUUGAAUAACUAUGUUUGUACUACUUAUAUAUCAACUUGGUUCACUCAUGUUCAUUUUAUGGCCCCUCAGAACAUAGAAGUGAGGCAUAAGAUCCGAGCUACGAGGCAUUCCCUUACCAGUGAUAUCGGGCCAUCUUCUUUGCUUUUAACAUCAGUUGUAAUAACAUUUUAUGUACACAUUUCGCUUGUAUUCUGAAUUAGAUGUAUGCUCUGACCAUGUCAUGCAUUAUCAUUAUCAUUGUUACGGACGGCUGAAUAUUAUUAUAUUAUUUUAGAAAGGUUUGUAUUUGAAUAUUACAUUGAGUAGUUCGCGUAAAAUUUAUAUGCAUGUUUCACAUGUUCUCAGCAUAUGCAUUCAUUAAAUGGCUUUCGUCACCCUCGGGUGUCGACCAACACAUGGCCAUCCCGCUGUCCUCUAGACAUUGGGAUCGGGGUGUGUCAAAGUGCACGUUGUGACAGAAUGAGGAAUCGAAGCACAUCUUAAGAAGAUUCGAGCAAUCCUAGAAAUGAAGUCUCCAACUACCUUGAAGAAGAUCUAAAGCUUGAUAGAACGAGCAACCGCGCUCAACUGAUUCAUCUCGCAGUUCAUUGAUUAAUGUAAGCCUUUCUUUAAAGCAAUUAAGAGGGCACUACAAGACAAAUGAGACGAAGAGUGCAAAAAAAGAACCUUCUAAGACUUGAAGAAAUAUCUCACUUCACCUCCCUUACUAUCCAAACCGGAAGCAUCAGAGGACUUAUACAUCUACUUGGCUGUUUUAAAAGUAGCAAUGAGCUAUGCCCUUGUACAAGAAAAACUGGGGGCCCAACUGCUAGUAUUCUACACUUCUACAGCUCUUGUCGAUGUGGAAACAAAAUAUAUGAAGAUCGAGAAAUUGAUUUUGGCGCUAAUUGUUGUGGCUCGAAAGCUCAAACCAUAUUUUCAAGCUCAUACAUGGUCCAUACGUUUCUCAACGAGUAAUGAAAUGGGCAUUGGAACUUGGCCAAUACAGCUUAGUUUACUGACCCCACACAAUGAUAAAGGCUCAAGCCUUGGCAUAUUUCAUAGCAAAAUUCAUGCCUAGCCAUGGCUACGUAACAGUGCGGCUCAACGAUUCCCUGAAGGCAACCAAGCAUGCCAUAGCCACAACCUACCUUGCUUAAUAGAGGCUUCUGGCAUUUGCACGUUGAUGGUGCAUCCAACUACAAGGGCUUGAGAGUAGGCUUGUUCAUUACCCCAGAUGGCAAAAGACAAUGGUGAAAAAGCUAACAAUUCAUUUUGAUUCCCAACUAAUCACCAGCCAAACUACUGGGGAAUACACAGUAAAGUAUCCAAGAAUGGCACAAUACCUAGAGAAGGUACGAAAGCAGCUUGAGGCGUUUCAGACUUACACUUUCCUUCAAGUUGCAUGGGUAGAUAACACCCAUGCGGACACACUAACUGGCCUAGGCUCCACCCCUGACCAUCAACUUAAAUGUUCUAUUCCAAUGAAGUAUCUAGAAGAGCCAAGCGUAGAGUCGUAGCCAGCAGCUGAAGCGUCAUAGUUUAGUACAACUCUAAGCUAGCAAAGUCUUAUCAAGAAAGCUCGAAGGUAACAUGCUACUACAUGUGGAACGACAUUCUCAUUUAAAUAUCCUACACCGGACCAUAUCUUUGCUGCCUAGCGUCUCCCGAUAACCUAACGGUUCGAAGAUCAAUCCAUGAAGGAGUUAGUGAAAAUCACUCUGGAGGUCGAUCCUUAGCACAUAAGGCUGUUAACGCAGGCUUUUACUAGCCUACUAUGCAUCAAGAUGCAAAAAAAUUAGUGCAAAAGUGUGAUAGCUGCCAGCACUACAAGCUGGUACCAGCAUUACCUGGUUGCAAACUAGACCUACAAACGAGUCAUUUGUUAUUCAUGUAGUAGGCAAUCGACCUAGUAAGGUUAAUGCUGCCCAUUAUUGGGGGUAAAGGCAUGAUGAUCGUGGCACCUGACUACUUCACCAAGUGGAUGGAAGCAGAGCCCAUGACAACCACAACUUAGACAGACAUAGAGCACUUCAUAUGGAGGAACAUCAUCUAUCGGUUUGGCAUCCCUCAAGUUAUUGUCAUAGACAAUGCCCCCAAUUCAUAGGAAAAAAUUUGGCAAAGUUCUUCCAGAAAUAUGGCAUUAAGCAGCACAUGUCUACGUCGAGGUAUCCUAAAGGCAACGGGUAGGCCAAGGCAUCCAAUAAGACACAUCGACUGCGUCAAGAAAUCUUUAUCUUAUAAGAAGAUAAAAUGACCAGAUGAACUACUCGGUGUUCCAUGGGUGUAUCGCACAACCAAACGAUGAGCAACCGGCGAAACUCAUUACUCCUUGAUAUUCAGUCCAGAAGCAAUCAUUCAUCCCGUCAUCGUGUCUAGCAUCAGCACUGUACUACUAACCAUUGAGCAGAACAAAAAUGAGAUAGCCACAAACUUAGACCUGGCAGAGGAAAAAUGCAAGAAGGUUAUCACCAGCGUUGCAUGCUACCAGUAGCAGCUCAUCUCCAGCUACAAUAAGACGAUGAAUCUGGCAGUUCCUGCCCAAAACUUGAUCCUCAAAAAAGCCUUCAUCACCGCUCGACGGGAAGGCUCUAAAAUGACGAACCCCACAUUCUGUUGUCAACACUUGGACCCCGUCAAGGCCUAUCAAAGUUCAAAGACUCAAUCAGCUCGACAAAUAAGACCUCGCAGGCUGAGGAUUAUCUAGUUGUUAUGUAGUUCCUACCUUUCAGCAAAGUUGAUAAAUUUCUUUAAUGAUCGAAGAAGUCAUUCGUAAGCCUGGCUUAACUGUAAGCCUACAACAACUAAUCACUCUUGCUUGUCAUUGAAGAUCCUGCCAUUUCUUGGACUUAUGAAUUGCACCCCCUAGUGACCAAUCAUACUCUCUAGUGCAAGAGGGUACACUAAUUCCCUGACACCCAUCUGAGUCUAUUCUCUAGUCCAAGAGGGUAAACUAUACAUUCCAAAUAUCUAGACGUGGAUGGGUCGGGCUAUCCUAGUGUAACUAGGUGCACGAUGACCUAUGUUAGAAUCAUUAGAAUUAGCCACAAUGGUCUUUUUCAAGGCUUUGAAGGAUUUUUGGUCUUUGGCUUAAUCAACAUGGAACCGGGCCUCAAAGACGGAGGAUGCACAUUACACAGUCCGCCUUAUAGACAACUACCCUGGAACCCUAAAGUUGCUACCGAGUGCACUAAGGUAGCCUACGGUUUCCUGAAGACUGCCUAUGGCUUGCCUUUCGAGCAAUUAGCCAUGCUAAACUCAUACAACCGCACAGUUUUGUGAAAAGUUAAACAAUUAGUAUGCACAUGCGAAGCUCUAUCCAUUGUCGAGAUGCUACUCAGCCGAUAAGCUUCAGCUCUGCCAAGCAAGGAAUGAUCACUCAAAUCUACAUUGAUUCAUAAAGGGUUGUGAUACUUGCUACGCAACCCACAUAAAUGGUUAUAUAAAGUGCAAGGAGUUUUCUAGGACCUUUAUCCAUAAAAUUCCAUACAGCCACGUACUUUUGAUACGAAAGGUUAGCGAAUUUCAUGCCCCAAAAAUCUUUAGUAUGUUAUGAUGCAGGCCACAUAACUUAAAGGAUUGAAGAAAAUCAAAGCUAACAGCCAAGUGGUUACAGGGAUUAGUUUACUUUUGUAAGUAAGGUGUCCGGUUGCUGACCAUAUAGCUAACAGCUUGCAAAAGUUCUACACCAAAACCAACGGCUAUAUAAGCUACAUGGGCUUAUUUUCUUAGUAGAAUAGAUUGGGCAUAAACAAAAAGAAGCAAAGAUGAAGAAAAACAAAGGAAACAAGUUUAUUAAAUUUUCUAGCAAAAUUGAUAAACAAAGAGCAAAUGCCGGUGAAGUUCAAACAAAAAGAAAAAGCAACAAUGAAAAUAAAGAAAACCCUAAAGGCUACCUAGAAGACUAAUUUUCAACAGUUUGGACAUUUCACGACUACUUGGUUGCCACACCUUCAGCAGCCGCCACACUUUCAGCAGCGGCAUUAUCCAGCACUACACCUUCGACUACCCUAGCCUAGGCACCAACUUUUCUAUUACUUCACCAAUCAAAGCCUCGAAAGUAAAGGCAAGCAAGUUUUCUAAAGAAAUAGAGAAGGUCUCGAAGUCUUUCCAAGCAAGUCUUCUAGCGAAUUUCAACAGCCUACCAAAGAGAUGAUCUACAUAACCCAACUUGUAGAAAUCAGCCUGACACUGAACAAGCAAAGCCUCAAGUCCAGCCUUCUCACUUUUCAAUUGUUGGAUCUCCUUGAGCAGACUAACAUGAAUGGUUUACCGAAUAGAUGAUCUACAUAACCCACCUUGUAGAAAUUAGCCUAACAUUGAAUAAACGAAGCCUCGAGUCCAACCUUUUCACUCUUCAACUGCUCGGUCUCCUCGAACAGACUAACACGGACGCAUUGCAGCUCAUCCAUUUCCUUAUUCAGACUUUCGUUGAUCUUCAAUACACCUUGGAGUUCUAAUACUUGGGGUUCAAGCUUAUUGACGAUCUUCUAGAAGUGGAUUACUUGAUUAUAAGCAGCAAUUAACUCUUCAUCCUUUGCAAAAGCAGCAAAACGAAUUCCCGAAAUGGCACGUUCAAGAUUUUGAAUCUGAGGUAUGUAAUGACCAAUCUCCAUAUCUACACUUUCAUACUUAACUUGGAUCACGUCAAGCCUAGCCUUCAAGUCAUUGAUCUUCUGGUGAGCGGGCUCAAGCUGCAAAGUGGGGGCAGAGAUAUUGGACCCCUUGAAAGCAACGAGCUCAGACUCCAACUUUUUUAUCUUCUCGGCAAAAGAAUAAGUUUCAGCUACCAUAGUCGUUACCAUUUCCUUUGCAGCCUUGGUAUUUUCUUAAUUAAUGAGCAUAGACUCGGCUACUUGAAUUGUCGUUUUCUACAUCAUAACAAGCAAAACAGUCGUUGUAUAUUGGGUCGUAUGCUUCACAAAGGAAAUUGGGCAAACAACCCAUCUGAGGCCGUCAACAAGUUUGGCACAAGCAUCCAUGUCUUCAAGCAGAUUGGGUUUCAAAAGUGCAUAGAUCUGAGUAGACUCUCCAGAAAUAGGCUUGGUGGAUUUUUUUCACAACUACCUAUACGAGCAUACUCUUCUUUUUCAGUAGGCGAAACAGUCUCAGUUGUAGGAGGAAUAGGCUCGGGUGUCACUUUAGCAGCAUAGUCCACCUUAUCGCACUUCAUAGUAGCAUGCAUCUCCAAAAGUAAACCAAACUUAGCUCCUAAUGAAUGUCUUGGUAUAGACUUCGGCACUAAGGGCAUGACAGAACCUCUUACGUUGAGCAAUCCUAUCAGCAAUUAUACUAGCCAUCUUGGGCAUGGCAGGCGUCACAGGUUCAGACCUACCAGCCUUAUCUUUCUUCCCCUUAAAAGAAGUCAAGUUAAUCAUAAGCUUCUCGACAGCAGGUAGACCCUCACAAGCAGCGGAAGAAGUUUUUUUCUCAGCUGUCAUCUCUUGAGCAGGUGGGGAACAUCUUUUUCUUCCACCUUCAUUCACAACGAGUCCACGACAGUGAUCAGACUAGCCAAUGCCUUAGCCUUGAUUUGUUUUAUCUUAUCUCUCAGGGGUAGCCCACCUUUCUCCUGGUGAAGAAGACUAAGCAACCAAUGUUAUUCACGGUACUCAACAAACAUGCCCAUGGCGACUUACACCUUCUUCAUAUCCGAUGAAGUCCUUGGAGUUAAGCCAAACUCUAAAUCUACACAAGCAGAGGUAGACAUUCAAUGAAUAAGUUAAAAGCAGCUCAGUAAAAGCACAAAGCAGCUUAAGAACUAAGCAAUUCACUUGCUGGUGGUGAAAAUCGUUGGAACGUACAGAUGAGGGGAAGAGUUAAACUCUCACUUUAUACUUAUCUCUAAGGUGUCUUUGGCCUAAUCAUGGUUUUUUUUUUCUCAAGAGAUUAAAUAGUUUAUGACGAAACCUUGACUGCCCACGAGCCAAGCCUCUUAACCUAGCUUUCUCGGCUCAACCAAGCAAGAGUAAGCUCAGCCCAUGCUGGUUUUUCUCUAAUUUUCUCUCUCAGACUAGCAGGCAAGAAGCCUACAUACCCAACAUUCUAACAACCCAGGAAGCCCAUGACCUCCUCAGUUUUCGCAAUCAGUCCAAGAGCCUAAAGGGCUUGAGCCAUACGACUCGCCCAGUAGUGCACCCGAAUGCUUCAAGUUGCAGACUCAGCCGCAUAGCUGCCAUUAGUUUCAACAAAGUCGAACAGCCCAAGCUGUGGCUCCUGCCACACCUCUUCCUUGACCCACGUCGAGCCGACUCCUGGCCCUUGUGAGCUAAGUGUUGCACCAUCUUGAUGACUGCCCCGUGGUAGCACCACCCAAGAAUAAGAUAAAGAAAAUUAAGUUUUUCUUACCUUGGUGCGGCACGAAGAAGACAAAGAAAUCAACGGAAGACAAUUCUUUGCACGGGCAUGCAAAGAAGAAUGCUAGGGGAGAGGGAACAAAUAUCCUCUAGCUUUCUCUCUUUCUUGAAAGGAUAAAUAAGUUGAUUUAAUCCCCUAGUUAAGAUAGGCUUAAAUAAGCUUGGUGGUGAUUUAUUUCCCUUUCCUAGAAGAAUCUAAUUCUAAGUCAAAGUGGGAAUCUGCAUCAAAUUAGGAAACAAUCUUAUGUUUCCCUAAGCAGUUAGAGAUCUCUACACCUACUGUCCUUUCCUGCGAGUAGCCCAGCAAGUGUGGGACAUUUGAAGAGAAAAAAUAAUCAAAAAAAUCAUGGAGACAACACGUGGACUUUUCAAUAAAAAAGACGAGACUACACUCGAGGCACACCGAGAUUCCCAUGCGCAUGCAUUGGAUAAUAACAGCUCAAUCAAUGGAGAGUCAAAGGUGAUUAAUAUGUUAUUUAUUUCAUAUUCCUCUCAUCACUCCUCAGCAAUCCCUUAUUUAUUUUAUUCAAAAUGUAACUCCCAAAACUUCCUAUUUACAUUAGGAAUAAUUGCCAUGUUAAUUGCAAGAUAUUAUUUCACAUAAUAUCUUGCAAUUAUUCACCCAAAUUCACCAUAAAGGGCCGGUUACUCCUCAUCCUAAGGGUCGGUCACUCUCCUAUAAAUACCACACUCAGCCCACUAAAAUGCUAAGUCAUUUGCUACCCACAAACUCCUAAACACAUUCUCUUCAGAAUUAUAACUUUGGCAUCGGAGAUUCUUUGGCCAAAGCCCCCUACCCCCAUUCAUUGUGGGCGCGUGACACUUUUGACCUUAAUUUUAGGUGUUAUUAUUUUGUAAGUGUAUUUUCGUCAAAGGAAGAGACGGCGGAAAUUCGCAUCUACAAACAUUAUUUUAUCCAAGCGGUGGUGGACACUAAAUUAAUCUAAAUGAUAGGGAGGGAGAUUCAAACUCUUUUUUUUUUUUUUUUUUUAAUAUUAUAAAUGUUGUUGUUGUUGUUUUUAUUAUUAUUAUUAUUAUUAUUAUUCUGAAGAGGGAGAUGAUUCAAAAAUAUUAAAAGAAUUUACAAGAGAAUGGAGUUUCAAACCCGGAAUGUUUGGGUAGAAAGAACACCGACACCCUACCCACUAGGGGACGAAAAUUAAAACUUAAUUGGAGAGGAGUUUACAGAGGUUUAGCUAACUUAGCUAUGCCUAAGUAUGUCAUACAUGAACAUUGUUAAUGGUCCAUCUUUGAGUAAUCGAGAAUCUUUUCAAGUAGUAUAAACUUGGUGACUCUACCCACAAAAACAAAUUUACAUACAUUAUUAGAAAAUAUGUACCAACAAAACCGUUUACAAAUUUUUAAUUAAAAUUUGAAUUCGAGGGUAACUAAGGGCGCUUUUGUUUGGCCUUGUUAAGUUUAAUCAAACUGAACUGAAUUAAAUAUUAGUGUAGGCAUGUGUUUGUUAUAGGAAUGACUAAGUUUAAUGGGAUAAAGAAGGACUCGCAUCUACUAAAUCCCUCACUAGGAGGUCUUAGAGAGACCCCAAAAAAACUACUGAUUGUUAAUCUCGUCUCCCACGUUUGCAAGUAGCCAACCCAAUCAUUCGCCUUCGUACAUGAGCAACAUCUGCAACUCCCUUCUUUAUUGACCAAAUAAAAAAUGGUUCUCAUCGAUCUCCAACAUCCUAUAAAACCCAGCGCCGAUUUGGGGUCUCCUGCUGGGUUAACCUAAACGAAGAUAAAGACGGGUCUUUUGCUAUCUCAGAUCACACACACACACAUAUCGCUCUCUUAACCUCAUAAACACCCGCUUCCGCUGAUUCUCCCACACCAGUUGCAUUCUAUCGCAAGAAUUCAACGAAUUGUGAUUUGAAUUUGGUGCGACAAAUAAGGUAAGCAAUUAGUAGGAACUGGGGGGGGUUUGAAAGGUGUUUGGUUGGUGAAAAAAAUUAAGAGAGAAACCGAAAGAAAAUAAAAUGGCAAUUAGGAGGAAUUGAAGAUUUUAAAGUGAUUUUUCUGCAAAUGGGAAUUCCAUGAAAGCAUGGUUGAUGAGGGAAAAAAAAUUUGAGUGUCUGAAAAGGCUUUUGUGUGUCUGAAUUGGAGAGCUUUCAAAAGCAUGGUUGAUGUAGGCCAAGGUUUAAAAUAUUGAUGAUAUUGGAAAUAUCGGUAGUCCAAAAACCCGAAAAUUUCUAUGGAAAUAUCAGGAUAUUAUCGAUAUCGAUAAAAAUUGAAUAAAAACCACGGAAAUUGUAAGAAAAACUUGGAAAUUUUUAUUGAAACUUUGCAUGAUGUUUAUUUAAUCAAUUAUCUAUUAGUUUAUCACAAAAAAUUGGAAGAAAAUGCAUUGCAUGAUGGAUUUAACUGAUUUAAGUUGAUUAUAUAGCGAGCUGGCAAACAUUGUGAGUGUAGAAAAUAUGUAGUAAUUAAUGAAAGAAGUUUAAACACACCAUAAUCAUUUAUAUAUAAUGAAUUAGUACAAUAUUUUGAACUUCAUAGGAACUCUGUACAUUGCAUAAAUAAUGAAUUGUACUAAUUCAUUAUAUAUUUUACACUUUAUACAUUGUAUGGUAGAUUGUUACACCCACCCCCAAUUGAAAUUGUAUUUUCACUGAGUUUGAGUUUAUUUUACUUUUAAAAUUAUUUUUGAGUCUUAAUAGGCGUGCCACGGGGCCCACCUUUGUUUAUUGUUCCCCGGGUCCAAGCCUAUCUCUCUCUCUCUCUCUUCUCUUUCCCUCCCUCACACUCUCUUCCUUUUCCUUUUCUUCCCCGACUCUCUGUGUUCUCUCAUCUUCCCGUUGAACACACACACACACCCAGUCACCGCACAACCUUCGUAGUACUCCGCCAACGGCAUCAUUAUCACAUCUAAACCUCGUCUUUCUCUCAUUUUCUCUCGGUGCAGCUAGGAUAGUGGAACCCAGGAACUCUCCGGCAAGUUCUCUUGAUCCUUCUCUGGUUAGGUAAGCCCCGGGUUACCUCAAUUCAUCUUGGAUGUUGUGUGGUUGAGAUAUACUAAGUUUUAUCUCUUUUUUUUAACAAGGUUUUAGAAUGAGAUCGACCCGAGGAAGGCACACCCAGCUCUAGUGAGGCCGUGAGUGUCGAGGAACUUUUCGAACACCUCUGACCAUUUCACAGCAAACGAAAGGAAUAAAAACAUUCCUCUCAUCUUGUGUUUCAUUUUGAUACCUAGAUCGGAGUCUAGGGUGCUCUUUUACAGUCGGCCGGAGCUGUAAAAGCUCUGGCGUUCUUCUCCGAUUCGCACCAGUCCUAAAAUAUCGCGAUAUAUUGACGAUAAUUAAGUGGAUAUGUGUAAAAAUAUCGCCAUCUCACAAAAACGAUAUUAUCGGCGAAAUAUCGCCGAUAAUAUCGAUAUUUUAGACCAUGAUGUAGGCAGAGAGAAUUGAGGUUUUGAUAGAGAGAGAGAGGGGGUUCUAGAAACAAAGAAAAAAAACAUAGAAUUAAUAAUUAAAUAUUAGUAGAUAUGGAUUAAAUAAUAUAAUUUCAGAGUUUGUUAGUAAUCCUGCUUCUUAGUCGGAACACUUUACUAAAUCAGUCCAACGUAGUUUAUUUUAAGUCAGUCCAACUUAGUAUAUGAAAUUAGUCUGGUCCGAGAUAAUUCGGUACAACAAAUGCACCCUAAUCGUAUAAUAAAGUGUCAUCAAAUUGUGGUUUAUUACCGCUUGUUGUCGUUUUAGCAUUCACUAUUUUUUUUUUUGAAUUUAAAAUUUCUAAUAAGUUCUAAUUGUGCAUAUUGUCAUUUUUUUUUUGUAAAAAAUGUUAAAGAGUAUAAGUUUCAAAUCAGCACCUAAGUAUAUGAACGUAAAUCACUUUUUAUUAAUUACAAACGUGGUUAAUGGUUCUUUCAUUUUUUUUCAUUAGAGUAGUAAUAGCUGACUCUAGGCUUGACAAACGGGUCGUGUUUGUCGUGUUCGUGUAACACAUGUUAUUUUAACGGGUCGUAUCGUGUCACACGUGUUAUCUUAACAGGUCGGGUCACUUUACCCAUUGGGUAAAGUGACCUGACCCGUUAUAACCCGUUAUGACCGGUUAAGAAAAAUAUAUAUAUUUCUUAAAUUUGCACAUACCACACUUUGCCACUUAAAUAUUACUUCAAAACAUUAAAACACAUAAUUUAAAAUAUAUAUAUAUAUAUAUAUAUAUAAUUAUUUUAGUUUUUAGGGGUAUAAAAUUGUUAAAUUUAUGUAUAUAAGUAUUAUAGUUUAUUCAUACUCAUGAAGUAUAACAUAAGAUUUUGUGGUAUCCACUAGUGUAAUUUUUUAAAUUGAAGAUCGAAUUCAUUCAUUGUAUUCAUAUAGGGUCAAGGAGUGUAGCUUAAAAAAUUAUCAAAAUCGGAGUUAAAAUAACCGUUAAAUCGUGAUUUUUCGUUUUAUAACCGUCGAAAAGUUUUGUUCGGUUACUUAAUCUCUGAAUGUUUGUUUUUUGCAAUUUUUGGCGUAUGCAAUCUUGAAGUAUAUACAAACAUGUUUGACGGUUGGAUCGUUGAAACUAGUUUCGUAGAAUGCGUAUCCCAUCAAAACAAUAGAUUCACUAACACUUAAGAGUUUAUUCUUACUUUCAUUAAGUAUAACAUAAGAUUUUGUAGUAUCCAUUAGUGUAAAUAUUUUAAAUUGAAGAUCAAAUUCAUUCAUUGUAUUCAUAUAGGGUCAAGGAGUGUAGCUAUAAAGAAUCAUCAAAAUCAGAGUUAAAAUAACCGUUAAAUCGUGAUUUUUCUUUUUAUAAAUCGUAUAAUUCGUAUCCCAUCAAGUUUAAUGGUAUAUAUAUAUAUAUAUUAAGUAGAUUUAAAUCUAUUUAUUAUGUACGUAUAAUUAUUAUAGUUUUUAAGUGUAUAAAAUUUAAUUUAAAAUUAUAUAUAUAAUUAUUAUAGUUAAUAUUUUGGGGGUAUAAUUAUUACAGUAUAUAUAAUUAUUAUAACUAUUAUAGUUAAUAUAUAUAUAUAUAAUUAUAGUAUUUUUUAGGGUUAUAAAAUUAUUAAAUUAAUAUUAUGCUUAUCGUGUAUCGUGUUAUCCACGUGUAUACCCGUUAUCUUAACAAGUACUUAUCGGGUUACUCGAUAAAGACCCGAUUCGUUAUCGUGUCGAUCCGAACACCUGUUAAUUUAGUGUCGUGUCGUGUCGAGUUAUUGGGUCGUGUCAGAAAUUCCCAGGCCUAGCUGACUCUUUCUUUGCUUUAAUGUAAGUUGUUUAUGUUUCUGGAUUUUAUUUCCAUUUCCUCCACCAUUGUCUCUUUAUUUGAUUUUUUACCUGAACAAAGACAAGACCAAGGAUGCAUUCCCUGCACUGAAUACUUUUCUUCCCUGCCAUGAAUACUUUUCUUCCCUGUCGCAUUCAAACAUUUCUAUUUGAGCUGAUGGUUCUUACCAAAUUGCCGCAGAAGUAAGCAAAACUUGUGCCAUGCAUUAAAACAAUUUUCACUAUAGCAAAACUUGGGCAUUUUCUUCUCUACAGUAACAUUCGGCAAGAGUUUGUAUAGAUUAAAAUAUUUUGCAAUCCUAAGAAAUCCAUAAAAUUCCAUGGAUAUCUAUAAUGCAAAUCCAUCUAAAAAGUCUUUUAAAAUCCUUUGAAAUCCAAAUUGAUUACACCCCUAAAUUCUCUAUAACGUCACAGUCGGUAGCUAGAAAAUACCCAAUCAAUUAUAAAUAAAAAGUAUCUGUACUUACCUGCUCAUAGUCCUCUGUCUUGAAAGGAUUAUUUUAACUGCCUGCUUGAAUUGUCUCUCAAACAAGGUCAAUAAAGAGAAGCUCGAAGAUAAAAUUAAUUAUUGAGGUACCAGGAAUCAGGACGGAUUAGUUUUAUUGACCUUGUUUCAGAGACAACUUCAAGAAGAAAACACACUAAAGCAGUAAAAGCGUACAAUAAAACACCAAUGUUUGUUGUAGCCCGGCCUAAUCUUGUAUGAUUGGGUGCUAGAUAUCUAAAAGUUCCAGCUAUAUGGGUAGUUUGAGGGUCUGCUCCAUGGUCAUAUAGUAGCAAGCCCAAAAUCUCAUACUAAUUAGUUAUUAAAAGAGCAUUUUAAACCGAAACAUAGUGAUCAAACUAUCCAGUGACUUCAAAAUAAUCUGACUUUUAUUAAUUUUGAGCGGGCUCGUUAUGCAAUAAUUUUUUAGUUAAGUGUAUAAAACACGAAAGAAGAAUGACAAAUUAACAAGCAAAUAGCUAGGUCUAUAUUGCAAAUCAGUAGAUGAACAUAUAUUACAUUGACAAGCUAACAAGAAAAAGCAUUACAUACAUAUUGUUUGUACCCUUUAUGUGAAUACCAGUUUGCAACAGAAUCCUAAUUGCUUAGAGCAGUCAGCGACUGCUUGAGAGAAGUGUCGACUCAACAGAAGAAAACCCCGUCCUCGAAGAAGACGGAUAUGACUUUGCAAAAUCAUCAAAACCUUCAUGGGGCGCAAACACUAAGUGUUGAACAAUAAAAAUACAUGACGUAUAAAAAAAUAAGGUCCAUACAAAUUGGGUCAAACUACAAGGCAAAACAAGAUGUAAUCCAGCCCAAAAAAAAUGAGGAUGGGCUUUACAUACAUCCAUAAAUAAAAUAAAAUAAAAUAUGCAUUUCCCUGCAAAAGAGGGAAGAUACAUACAAAAUCAGCGGCUCCCCCAUUUUCUGCAACAAAAAGAAAAGUGGAGUCAGUUUAAGAGAAAGUGGCGAAAAGAAAGGCCUCUAUCCUCCCCCACGUAAGAACUCUGGAAACCUCCUAAGAUGCCUAUAAAUAGGCAUCAACCAUAGCAAAAAAAAAAAGACAGACAGACAGAAAAAAAAGAGGGGAGACUCUGCAGAAAUUGAGAGACGACGGUGAAGAACGAACGACAAAGAAGAACAAAGCAAGAGAGUAAGGGGAAAAGUACACAACAGCAGCAAAAAAAAAACAAGAAAGGAGGAAGGUGUACACACGGCAAAGAACAUCAAAGUGUGCACACGACAAAGAACAUCAAAAUACCCAAAGGUAUCAAUCUUUAUCUUUAAUUUGUUCUUGGUUUUGUGUAUUGGGUGCAGCUUUUUGCAGGAUGAAUGAAAGAGGAACUUGGCUUUUCCUCUUUCACCGAAGCCAGAAAGAUGGAUGGGCAAAUUUCCCCAUGGCAGCCAAAAGAUAAGACAAGAAAAAAAAAAUCUCUUCUCCUUCCCCCCUCAAUCUUGCCGACAACAGGUAAAGCAAUCCACCCCUUUUAAUAGGGGCGUUGUUUUGAUAAAAACCCAGUCACCACCGCCCUUCAACCGUUGUCUCUAGCAGUCCUUCGGAAGAAGCCCAAGGGCCCCGAGGACGGUUGAACCAAGCAAUCAACCAAACCACAACACCACCGCUCUUCAACCGUUGUUUCCGGCAGUCCUUCGGAAGAAGCCCAAGGGCAGUGCCAUCCGCACUCCGAGGACGUUGAGCCAAGCGAUGUAGUUAGGCACGCGGGUCCAGACCAUCAACAAAUUCGACAAAGGCUCGUAUGAAAAGAUGGCAGCGAUGGUCAGUGUGAAGAAGUGAAAGAAAAAAUGCAACACCAAUCGCCAUGAGCCAUCCCCAUCCCACUGACAGUGGCGAGAAUAACCCAAGGCCUUCAGAAAAUGUGGAAGACAUCCGAAGGCAAGAAAGCCGAGAAUUUGGGAAAAGAGACAUGUCCCCAGGUCCAAGGAUGCAGCGGAAAUGGUUCUAAAGUUGCACUUUAAAACAGAUUACAGAGGCUCAAAGGCUCUCUGUGAAGCUCCUGCAGCCUCUUGGGUGUCUAAAGAAGUUUUUCGACACCUCCCUUCCUCUUUUCAGAGAUGCAACGGAGAAGAAGCCGUCACUCUGCACGUUUGAACAAGUGGAGAACAAGAACCCAACAUGCCCAGCUAUGGUCCCGAGCUUCUAUCGGUCGACGAGCCAUGGUCGUCUUCAAAAUUUUGCGUUCUUCAUUGAGACAGAAACCCGAAGAAAGCCCAACCAAAGAAGAAUAGGCGCUAGUUGCCACUGACCAAGUUUCAUUCGAAUUCCUGUUUAAAUCAGGAAUUGAGGAAAAAAAAUCUCCAACAAGCAAAGAUGAUUCGUGAUUUUAGUCGAAGACUAGUUUUACCCCUGUGAAGACAAAUCCAUGCAGGCAACGGAAAACUCAAAAGAAAGUGCUUGUUUGUUUUUUUUUUUUUAAAAAGGCUAAGCACGUGGCACCUCAAAAAUGAAGCAAGUUAUUGUCAAAUGUUGGGCAAAGCUAAAUUCAAGGUUGAAGACAGAAAAAAAUGUUUAAAACUCAUAAGGAAGAGAAGAAGAGUUCCAGACCAAAAAGCUUUUGUCACAUCAAAAGUAAAGUUAAAAAAAUGUUGAUGUGGUCUUCUUUUCCUUGAUAGCAAGAAAACCACUCACGUGGAGGACAAAAAGAAGUCGUGGAGGACAAAAGAAAGUCAUGGUUCCCCAUUUAAAUCAUGGGACAAAGUCUUAUUGGAAUUUGGAGACCUUUAAAGUCAAACAAAGAAAAGAGUAAGGCUUGCUGUCAGAUUGGUCAGAAGUUUAGGUCAGAUAGGUUUAAAGUCCCAUGUUUUGAAAAGUUCACAGAAAAAUAUAAAAAGGGAGAGGAGAAAUGCUAACUGAAAUUAGAAUCUCACAUGGAAAGUCGCUCACGUGGGGGUCAAUAAAGUUAUGGGAGUUCUUUAUGGCAAUUUAACUUGUGCCAUUUCAAAAUUGGAUCCCAUCCUCUUCGAACCAUUAAGGAGACAUACGGCAAUGACAAAAGAAAAUAAAGAAAGAAGAAAAGCAAGGGACUCAAAGUUUACAAGACACAAAUACCACAAAACCCCGUCAAACUUCAAAUGGCACGAAGCCAUAUCAAGUAUUAAAUGGCACAAAGCCGCGAUGAGUCUCAAAAUUAACGAACUACGCCGGUUUGAUUCUGUUAAAGAUACGUAGGCAGUCUAAUAUUAAGUUUUAGACGCAACCGUGAAACCGAAACGAAUCCCUGGUUUAUAUAAACUAAAUUCACUCCUACCAUCAAAUACCAAAAUGGCACGAAGCCAAAGAAAAGUUUCAAAGGGCACGAAGCAGUAUCAAAAUCUCAAAUGGCAUGAAGCCAUAUCAAAUUUUCAAAUGCUCAUCGCCCGCAUGAGCUAAAACUGCACAAGGCAUCAAAUCCAAACAAGUACCAAAUCCAUGAACUACGAGUGACUUGAUCCCUCAAGAGGGUACGUAGGCAAUCUAGGGUUCGACCUAGGUGCAGUCACAAAAUCAAACAAACAUCAAAUUCCUCAAGUUACAUUUUUAUUCGAAUUAGAAUCAAAGGGUAUUUCUUUCCCAAAAGAAAGAUUGUAAUUAAUAGGCGUGUAGCCUAGAAUGGGUCGAACUCGAAUUAAUAAACCCUCUUCGGAAAACUGAACGAGGGUGAAAUUGUGUCGAGUAAAUUAUUUGUUUACAUAUUAUGUACAAUUUUUGCUUAACAUAAUUUUUGGCACGCCCGGUGGGAUCCAUUUUCCCUUUCAUCUCUAAUUUUGAAGAUAAUUAAUGUGCUAUGUGUUUUCUUUUUUUUGCAGAAAAAAAGGAAGCAUGGCACCACAAGUUACUGUUUACUUCCACGAACUCCCUGCUGCUGAAUCCAAGCUUGGACAUGGAAAACAUGCUAGUCAUCGAAUAUCAUUCACCAUUGAUCAAGCACCAACUAAUUGCAGCAUGGUGAAAACCAAGGUAGCAACAAAAACAAGCAAGGUGGCUAUCAAAAUCAUCAAAGUUGGACCAAAGAAAUGCCCGUCCAAGAACGCCCUGAGGAAUGCAAGGAAGAGAGCGGCACGAGCUCUUAGGAAGAAGAUUGCUAAGGAGCGUGUACUUGAUGAUAUCGAAAUCAUCUCGAGGGAGCUUUUUGGAGCUAUUUCAUAUAAAGACACCAAGGUGCCUCGACACAAGAUUGUCAAAGUGACAUCAUUACCACUUACCAAGGUUCCUGUCAUUACUCAAAUUAUGAUCGAAACAAUCCCAAUCACAUUAUCUACAACGGAGUCGGUCAUGAUGACCUCCGUCGAGGAAAAUGAAGAAAUCUUGCCAAUAGAGUCUGGAAAUGUUCAACAAAAGGCCAAGGCCUAUGAAGUUGUUGAGGAAGGUGAUAACAAUCAAUUCAAGGGGCCUAUCACACGUGCAAGGGCCCGAGCAUUGGCAAUCCACUCUCCCGAGAGUUCAUCUUCCUUUGGAGAUACCUCUGGAGGAAACAAAUCUUUUUCCCAAGAAGAAAUUCCUAAAAUAAUGACUCAAUUCCAAAGGUUGGAGAUAAAUGAAGAUGUCGAAUUUGAGAACAUGCAAGUUCUGAUGAUUGGUGCAUCAAAUGUAGAAGAACAAUUGCUAGAAAUGCAACGGAAACGAGCAGAAAAAGAAGCUGAAAUGGCAACUUUGGUAGCUAAUAAGGAGGCUGAAAUUGCAACUUUGGCAGCUCAGUUAGCCGCUCAAGCUAGCAUAAAUAAUGCUGGAGAAAGAGCAAGGAAAGAAACAGAAGGAGAAAGUUCCAGUAGCCAGCUCACGCAUCAAGAUAUCAAUGCAAUUUUCGCUGAAAAGAUUCGUGAAUUUCAAAUGUCUUUAACGACACCAAUUCUAGGAUACCGGAAGCCUUAUCCAGCUCAAUAUGACACAGUGCCAUUUCCCCAAGGGUAUCAAAAACCGAGCUUUGAUAAAUUUGAUGGUUUAAGUGGUUCUCCUCAAGAACACUUAGCUCAUUUUUACUCAGCUUGUGGGGAGACAUCGCAAUCAGAUCCUUUAUUAGUGCGGCAAUUUGUUCAGUCACUAAAAGGGUCUGCUUUCACAUGGUACACUCAAUUAGAGCCAGGAUCUAUUCUAACAUGGGAUGAUAUGCAAAGAGCUUUUCUAGCUCAAUUCGUCAGUUCAAAGAAAAAAGUCACAUUAAUGGAUUUGGCUCAAACAACACAAAGGCUUGGAGAAAGCGCGAGCGAAUUCAUCACAAGAUGGAGGAGUCUUAACCUACAAUGCAUGGAAAAGAUUUCUGAAUUUUCGGCAGUGCAAAUAUGUUACAAUAACCUCAUCCCUGAGAUUGCAACAUUUGUAGGAAUUGCAGAGCCUCGAACUUUCGACGAGUUGGUAUCCAAAGCAAGCAAUGUGGAGAAGCAGAUGUCCCGGAAAAAUUUGAUUGGAAAAAUGAUCCAAGACUUAGAAAAUAAGUCAGACACCAAGAAUGAAGAUAACAAAAGAAUGUCGAAGAAGGGAGAUUCUAUGGCGACAUUUGUCAAAUUAGACAAGAAAAGUGACAAUAUAAAAAGAAAAGAAGAAACCAAAGGGACGAGGAGGCUUUCACUCAAAGAAAGAAAAGAAGUUAAAUAUAGUUUCGAUGAUGAAGAUGUUGGAACUAUCUUCGACGAACUCCUUCCAGCAAAGAUGAUCACGCUUCCUGAACCAAAGCGUCCCGCUGAAGUAAAUAAGACCGAUGAUCCAAAGUAUUGUCGGUAUCAUCGACUCAUCAGCCAUACGAUAGAGGACUGCUAUAUCCUUAAGGAUAUAAUUCAAGAAAAAAUCAACAAGCAUGAGAUCGAGGUGGAUUCAUCUUCAAAACAUCAGACAUCAAUGUCCAAUAUGAUCGAAGGAAAAUCAACACCCUCCUCUCCAUUACCAGAAGGGGCAAUCCCUGUAGGAUUUCAUGUCGAUAAUGAAACCACAGUUGUCCAUGCUUAUCCUGGCAUGCCUCGUUCUGGAAAUCCAAAAAUUCCAACUCUGUACGAGCUCAUGACGACACCAAGUUUUGAUGUUUGGGAGGAUUCGUCAUCACUUGAAUCCGAAGACGAGUGGCAAACCGUCAGUGAAAAGAAGGUGAAAAAGAUUGCUAAACGUUUUUCGUCUACAAAGCGAUCAAAAGGAAAAUUAUGGAGUGGACCAUCCUCAAAAGAUGGAAAGAAAAAGAAGAAAAAUACUCAAAGAAAGCCUAAAGUAUUUCAAGAUGAUGAGUACAAGCAGCCUUUUAGAGCACCAAUAACCCUUGGAGACUACCUCAUUCCAAAACUUUUUAAGAGUAAGGGAGGCGAGGAAGAAAUUGGAAAUUGUCGCACGACCUCAUGUGAAAUCCACAAUGAUGAUGAGGUAGAUGAAAUAACUCUACGCUCUGGCCAAAGGAUCCCGUCUGCUGACAAGAAAAAAGGAAAAGAAGUAAUUGAUUCAGUCAAACAUUCCGACAAACCAAGUGCAAGAGAGGUUCCAGUCACUACCACUGUAAAGCCUACGGUAGAAGUUUCAGUCUCAACCACAAAAGCAAGUACCUCUAAGAGACAUGCAAAAGAUGUAUUACAGUUCCAAGAUGGCAAAUACGACAUUGUCGACCAUCUUAAGCGUAUCCCAUAUCUCCUUAGUGUGUACGAUGCUCUAAAAAUGUCUAAGGAGCUUAGAGAAGCACUCAUAAUGGCUUUAACAAAUCCUGAAGUAUUUGAAACAAGCUUGAAAUUUGCAGAGAUGGAUACAACGUCACCAAAAUAUUGCGCUUGCUGCCUUGCAAGUAUCACAUUUGACGAAAGUGACCUUAUACUUGGAGACGAAUACCACAAUCGACCCUUGUACGUCAGUGGACUAGUGGGAGAUACAUCAAUAAAUCGAAUCUUGCUUGAUUGUGGAUCAGCAGUAAACCUACUUCCUCUUCGAACACUUCGAGUUCUGGGGAUGAAUGUUCGUCAACUGACACCAUCAAUGUUAACUAUUCAAGGCUUCAAUCAAGUCGGACAAAAAGCAAUGGGAUCAAUAGCAUUACAAAUGGAGAUAGGGGAGUUGUACUCCGACGCCCUUUUCCAUGUAAUCGAUGCUGACACAUCUUAUAAUGUUUUAUUGGGACGUCCGUGGCUUCAUACAUAUGGUGUCGUUCCUUCUACACUCCAUCAAUGCUUCAAGUUUUUGGUGAAUGGCGAAGUCAAAAAAGUCCUAGCGGACACCGACCCAUUUAGGGGUGAAGAAGUGAAUUACGCAGAUGCAAAAUUCUACAAACAAUCAAAAGUCACUUUUUCGCAACCAACAAAAAAUGAGGUGGUGCAGAAGGAAUCACGAUCACUAGUUAUGGAGAGGGUAAAGCCAUCAAGGCUAGUCAAAAUCGCGAGUUCUAAAACUCCGAAAUCUCAAAAAGUAGGUCUCAAUUGUUCAUUACAAGAUCGAAGAGAACCUGAAAAGAAGGCAAUGGAACAAAUCCAAAAUGCAUUUGAAGCACUCAUGACCAACUACACAAAGCCUCUACGCAAAAUCAACCAAUCGAUUCCUGGGGGCAAUUUGGUAGUCUCAACAAAUUUGCAAAAGAAUAAUGGUCGACAGGGUCACAUUGUUUCGUUCAAAAGAAAUGAGUCUUCAUCAAAGGUUCCAUUAAAGAUAAAAGCGAAGAGGUGCAAAGCUAAAAAGAGUGCCAUCGACAUCACAGUACACCAAGAAAAUGAUAUGCUUAAAGCAUUUGUCUCAAAUACCAAGAAUCAUGAGUUUGAAGGCUUUACUGAUCUCGAGAAAGCAAUGUUGACUGAAGAAGAAUCUAGCAGCAAGCCACCUUGAAUUUCUGUCUUCCAACGACUUGGUAAAAUCAUCAACUCUCAACCUAAGAAGUCUCAUAAAAGCAAAAAGUGGGGAGUCAAAACCCAAAAGGUGACAAUAAAUCGUGACAAAAAUGACGAUGCGCAAGAAGAGGUACAAGACAUUGUUCAAGUCAACGCGAUUGGUAGCAAAGAAAAAAGCAAGGAAUCUGAUAACGAGCCUAUUAAGUCUGUCAGACAAUUCCCAACCUGCUUUCUAAUCAAGAAGAAAAAUGGACAGGUUUGUACCUGCAUCGACUUCAGGACUUUCAAUAGUGCACCUCCACUUCCAGAAAAUGAAACUUAUGGAACAAUUGAGAAAAUAAGCAUGGAAGAAGUUUGUGACUCAACUCAAGUAAACUGCGUUACCAUUAAGAAGAAAAAGAAGAGAAUGGUGACGAAUCAACUGAGCUCAAGCAAUACAUCCCCAAAUAAAGGAUAGGGGGCAAGCUAAUGCCUAACAAACUCCGAGAGGGAAACAAGUGCAGAGGAAACAAGUCAAGAUAAAUCCUUUCCUCUGAACUACGUAUGACUUGAUCCCUCAAAAAGGGGUACGUAGGCAGCCUAUCAUUAAAAAUGGGUGCAGUCAUAAAAAAAUCAAAAUCAAAAUCAAAUCCCGAAAAUUAAGGGGUGAACUACGUUCGGCUUGAUCCCUUCAUAGGGUACGUAGGUAGUCUAGCUUUAUUACUAGAUACAGCCGUAAAAAUCAUUUUCCCAAAAUCAAGGGGUGAACUACGUUCGGCUUGAUCCCUUCAUAGGCUACGUAGGUAGUCUAGCUUUAUUACUAGAUACAGCCGUAAAAAUCACUUUCCCGAAAUCAAGGGAUGAACUACGUUUGGCUUGAUCCCUUCACAUGGUACGUAGGCAAUCUGAUCCCCAAAAUUAGAUGCAGCCAUAUUUCAUCAAAAAUUAUAUUUUUCAACGGAAUUAGCAUUUAUUUGAACUGCCACAUGCUAACAUUUUCAGUAAUUAUCAAGGCCAAAAGCCACUAAAAACGAUUUUAAAUUGAGAAUGACAAAAGCAUUUGUUCAAAUAGUCAUAUGCUAGAAUUCGUUUAAACUUUUCCCAAGCAAAAGUUUAAGGACAAAACAUAAAGUGAUUUUCACUUAUGUAGAGUGAUAAAAAGAGAUGAACUACGUUUGGCUUGAUCCCUUCACGGGAUACGUAGGCAAUCUGAUCCCCAAAAAUUAGAUGCAGCCAUAACUUAUAAAAAAUUAUUCCUCCAAUGGAAUUAGCAUUUGUUUGAACUGCCAUAUGCUAAACGUUCUCAAUAUUUAUCAAGACAAAAGUCACUCAGGGUGAUUUUUUAAUUGAGAACAGCAAAAGCAUUCGUUUGAAUCAUCAUGUGCUAGUAUUUGUUUGAACUCUUUGCAAGCAAGAGUUUAAGGACAAGGCGUGGGUAAAUUUUCACUUGUAUAGUGAUAAAAAAAAAGAAAAAAAAAAGGGUGAAAGCAAGAGUAAAACACGGCAAAAGAGAAGUAACAAACAUAAAAAAAAAAUCUUCUUGUCUGUCUUUUUCUCUUUGGACUUACAGAGAAAGAAGCAAAGUGUCAACCUUUCUCCUUUGCCCGCAGCAAAAUGAAGGUGAGACCUUGAAAUGUCCACUGGCUUACCAUGACAGCAACAUCAAAACUGUCAAAGAGGUUCUAAAAAAUCGAUGGCAGCGAGAGACAAGACCAAAUGCUCUUUCUUCCCCUAAAAAAAAUGGGAUCUCUGUAAACAUCAGAAACGGCCACCAACAACAACCCAAGCUGCACGAUUUGGUCUCUGAUAGCAAAACAAGCCCCUCCUGAAGUUGAACAUGGAGGAUGAAUAGCCAAAAAUGUUAACUGGGCAAAGGGAGAAACCAAGUGGGAGGAUCACCAAAAGAUAGAUUGUAGUUAAGCGAAGUCAGUGGAGAAGAACGCCUGUACUCUAGACCCGUGACAAACUCUUUCCCGGCCUUGUCAACAGCCCGCUGGAUACAAACUUGGCCAUCUGCAUUCAUUCCCUGAAAUGUAAAAUGCAACAUUGGUCAGGACCUCAGUACACGAUGCGAUCAUAUCAAGCCUUAUACGCUCAAGAUAAUUUCACGCAUAAGGCUUGAGGGGGCAAUCUGUUGAACAAUAAAAAUACAUGACGUAUAAAAAAAUAAGGUCCAUACAAAUUGGGUCAAACUACAAGGCAAAACAAGAUGUAAUCCAGCCCAACAAAAAUGAGGAUGGGCUUUACAUACAUCCAUAAAUAAAAUAAAAUAAAAUAUGCAUUUCCCUGCAAAAGAGGGAAGAUACAUACAAAAUCAGCGGCUCCCCCAUUUUCUGCAACAAAAAGAAAAGUGGAGUCAGUGAGAAAGUGGCGAAAAGAAAGGCCUCUAUCCUCCCCCACGUAAGAACUCUGGAAACCUCCUAAGAUGCCUAUAAAUAGGCAUCAACCAUAGCAAAAAAAAAAAGACAGAGACAGAAAAAAAAGAGGGGAGACUCUGCAGAAAUUGAGAGACGACGGUGAAGAACGAACGACAAAGAAGAACAAAGCAAGAGAGUAAGGGGAAAAGUACACAACAGCAGCAAAAAAAAAACAAGAAAGGAGGAAGGUGUACACACGGCAAAGAACAUCAAAGUGUGCACACGACAAAGAACAUCAAAAUACCCAAAGGUAUCAAUCUUUAUCUUUAAUUUGUUCUUGGUUUUGUGUAUUGGGUGCAGCUUUUUGCAGGAUGAAUGAAAGAGAACUUGGCUUUUCCUCUUUCACCGAAGCCAGAAAGAUGGAUGGGCAAAUUUCCCCAUGGCAGCCAAAAGAUAAGACAAGAAAAAAAAAAUCUCUUCUCCUUCCCCCUCAAUCUUGCCGACAACAGGUAAAGCAAUCCACCCCUUUUAAUAGGGGCGUUGUUUUGAUAAAAACCCAGUCACCACCGCCCUUCAACCGUUGUCUCUAGCAGUCCUUCGGAAGAAGCCCAAGGGCCCCGAGGACGGUUGAACCAAGCAAUCAACCAAACCACAACACCACCGCUCUUCAACCGUUGUUUCCGGCAGUCCUUCGGAAGAAGCCCAAGGGCAGUGCCAUCCGCACUCCGAGGACGUUGAGCCAAGCGAUGUAGUUAGGCACGCGGGUCCAGACCAUCAACAAAUUCGACAAAGGCUCGUAUGAAAAGAUGGCAGCGAUGGUCAGUGUGAAGAAGUGAAAGAAAAAAUGCAACACCAAUCGCCAUGAGCCAUCCCCAUCCCACUGACAGUGGCGAGAAUAACCCAAGGCCUUCAGAAAAUGUGGAAGACAUCCGAAGGCAAGAAAGCCGAGAAUUUGGGAAAGAGACAUGUCCCCAGGUCCAAGGAUGCAGCGGAAAUGGUUCUAAAGUUGCACUUUAAAACAGAUUACAGAGGCUCAAAGGCUCUCUGUGAAGCUCCUGCAGCCUCUUGGGUGUCUAAAGAAGUUUUUCGACACCUCCCUUCCUCUUUUCAGAGAUGCAACGGAGAAGAAGCCGUCACUCUGCACGUUUGAACAAGUGGAGAACAAGAACCCAACAUGCCCAGCUAUGGUCCCGAGCUUCUAUCGGUCGACGAGCCAUGGUCGUCUUCAAAAUUUUGCGUUCUUCAUUGAGACAGAAACCCGAAGAAAGCCCAACCAAAGAAGAAUAGGCGCUAGUUGCCACUGACCAAGUUUCAUUCGAAUUCCUGUUUAAAUCAGGAAUUGAGGAAAAAAAAUCUCCAACAAGCAAAGAUGAUUCGUGAUUUUAGUCGAAGACUAGUUUUACCCCUGUGAAGACAAAUCCAUGCAGGCAACGGAAAACUCAAAAGAAAGUGCUUGUUUGUUUUUUUUUUUUUAAAAAGGCUAAGCACGUGGCACCUCAAAAAUGAAGCAAGUUAUUGUCAAAUGUUGGGCAAAGCUAAAUUCAAGGUUGAAGACAGAAAAAAAUGUUUAAAACUCAUAAGGAAGAGAAGAAGAGUUCCAGACCAAAAAGCUUUUGUCACAUCAAAAGUAAAGUUAAAAAAAUGUUGAUGUGGUCUUCUUUUCCUUGAUAGCAAGAAAACCACUCACGUGGAGGACAAAAAGAAGUCGUGGAGGACAAAAGAAAGUCAUGGUUCCCCAUUUAAAUCAUGGGACAAAGUCUUAUUGGAAUUUGGAGACCUUUAAAGUCAAACAAAGAAAAGAGUAAGGCUUGCUGUCAGAUUGGUCAGAAGUUUAGGUCAGAUAGGUUUAAAGUCCCAUGUUUUGAAAAGUUCACAGAAAAAUAUAAAAAGGGAGAGGAGAAAUGCUAACUGAAAUUAGAAUCUCACAUGGAAAGUCGCUCACGUGGGGGUCAAUAAAGUUAUGGGAGUUCUUUAUGGCAAUUUAACUUGUGCCAUUUCAAAAUUGGAUCCCAUCCUCUUCGAACCAUUAAGGAGACAUACGGCAAUGACAAAAGAAAAAUAAAGAAAGAAGAAAAGCAAGGGACUCAAAGUUUACAAGACAAAUACCACCAAACCCCGUCAAACUUCAAAUGGCACGAAGCCAUAUCAAGUAUUAAAUGGCACAAAGCCGCGAUGAGUCUCAAAAUUAACGAACUACGCCGGUUUGAUUCUGUUAAAGAUACGUAGGCAGUCUAAUAUUAAGUUUUAGACGCAACCGUGAAACCGAAACGAAUCCCUGGUUUAUAUAAACUAAAUUCACUCCUACCAUCAAAUACCAAAAUGGCACGAAGCCAAAGAAAAGUUUCAAAGGGCACGAAGCCGUAUCAAAAUCUCAAAUGGCAUGAAGCCAUAUCAAAUUUUCAAAUGCUCCUCACCCGCAUGAGCUAAAACUGCACAAGGCAUCAAAUCCAAACAAGUACCAAAUCCAUGAACUACGAGUGACUUGAUCCCUCAAGAGGGUACGUAGGCAAUCUAGGGUUCGACCUAGGUGCAGUCACAAAAUCAAACAAACAUCAAAUUCCUCAAGUUACAUUUUUAUUUGAAUUAGAAUCAAAGGGUAUUUCUUUCCCAAAAGAAAGAUUGUAAUUAAUAGGCGUGUAGCCUAGAAUGGGUCGAACUCGAAUUAAUAAAACCCUCUUCAGAAAACUGAACGAGGGUGAAAUUGUGUCGAGUAAAUUAUUUGUUUACAUAUUAUGUACAAUUUUUGCUCAACACUAAGCCACUGGAAGAAUGCGCGAGAACUGACAACUCCAGCAAAGCAAUGUCACGGUCCAAAUACUGCACAACUUGGUGCAUGCUUGGCCUAUCUGAAGAAUCUGAAUGAGAGCAUAACAACCCAAGCUUCAACACCAGUUCCACUUCCUCAACUAUGAAUUCUGUGCUUAAGUUUCGAUCUCUUGCCUCAAGAAUACUGUUUUUCUUCCAACAAGAAAACACCCAGUUGACCAAAAUCACAUCCUGAGCUGGACCUUUUAGCUCUAUUAGCAUUUUUCCAGGCAACUUCAAGCAAGAAUGCCCCGAAAGCAAACACAUCAGUGUGUGUUGUGGCCCGGCCUGAUCUUGUAUGCUUUGGAGCUAGAUACCCAAGUGUUCCUACAAUAUGAGUAGUUUGAAGGUCUGUUCCGUGAUCAUAUAAUCUUGCAAGGCCAAAAUCUCCUAGCCUAGCAUUCAGUUCCCCAUCUAGUAAUACAUUACU